UUUGCUUAGUUUGCUAAAUAAAUAAAUAAAUAAAAUUUGCUAUGAACACUCAUGAUAAACUCUCACAUGGAAAUGAUGAAUAGUUGCUCUGCCAUGACUAGUUUUUAAAAUUGAAAUUUCUCUUAAGUUUAGGCAUGACUGUUAUGAAGUAAGAUUUGCUCUAAACCUGAACUUGUGGGAAGAGUACUUGAUCUAAAGUCUAAGUCGUUAACGGAUAUGAUAUGGGAAGGUUGAGCUGCUGUUUAUCUGUUUCUAGAUAUGCUAGAAUUCUGGAGAAUUUUUUAUUGAAAAAUAUUUAAAAUAACACAUGAUGAGUUCCUGUAUGAUGAGAGUUUAAAUUCCUACCACAGCCAUAUAUACAUGUUUAUUAGAGUGUGAACCAUAUAUUUACUUUUUACUGCUUAUAAGCAUUGAGUGUGGUCAAGCUGUGUAGACCCUAAGGAGCUUGUCAUGUGGUUAAAAUCAAGAUUCACUUGCACGUUCACUCAUACAUGCUACUUCUACUUCGGAAGUACGCAUCCACAUACAUCCACUCAUUUCCAUCUCCAGAUUCACCUAAAAUUAUUCCACUCCUAAUCUGGGAGAGAAUAGCCAAAAACAUUAUCCUAUCCCUGUUAUUCCCUGUGAAAUAAAUGCUCGAGUUAUCUUGGUUACUACCACUUGCUAUAUUAUUUAAGGAGAUGAGUGCUCUAAUAAAAAGAAAGAGAAAGAAAAUAAUAUACGAGGAAAUAAAAAGGGGCAAGUGCCCGGAACCUCGAAGAAAAAGAAAAAGUGAGACGAGAGGUAAAAAUGGACAAGUGUUCGACAGUAGAAUUAGGGGUACAAGAUACCCACCUGAGAGGAAAGAAAAAGAAAAUAUAGAGCAUCUCAUUCUCCCCAAAAAGCUUCAAAGUGCAAGAAAGGUAUGUAUCCCCUUAAAAGAGCAAAAGUAGAAUUAUACUUUCACCAUUGUUAUCACCAUCAUCACCAUACACCAUUCAUUUGCCACACAUGCACAUCUUGAUUUGAUUUAUUGACUUGUUUCUCUGGAUCCAUGGUUUGACUAUGCAAUAAAUGUCUUGUAACUAUGUAUUAGCUGUCUCCCACCUAUGAGCUCCAGAUAUCAAAAUCUUAUUAGAGUAGGGUGAGAGAGAAAGCAAUAUCACUAUGCCUCAUACCACAAAUACUACAUACUUUGAGAGAAGGCAUAUACCAUUACUGUCUUGGUAAGGAUCCAGAAAUACCACAAAAGAGAGAUUUGAGAGAGUCAUAUAAGGAAUCUCUGAGUUUUAUUUGAAAAUCUACAAAAACUCCAGAGCUAUAGCUGAUCAAGGAUAAGAGACAUGGCGCUUGACUUGACCGUUCUAUCUUUUAACUGCACAAGACACAAGUGACGGUUGCAAGCCCCAUGGUGGAAGGUAAAAUGAGUAAGUUUUAAGUCUUAACAGUUUAUUCUAACUCAGAGAUGAGAUCUUACUUUUAAGGCAUGAAACCACUGUAGAAACUCUUGAGUUUAUCCUUGCUCAGGGACGAGCAAGAGGUAAGCUUGGGCGAGUUGUUGACGGUCCUUAAGUACUAAAUAUAAUCAUCAAAUAUAUAAAGAAAAGGAUCCAAAUGCAACCAACACCCAGACUUAGGGUUUUAUCUGACAAAAUUCCACGAGUUUUGGUGUUUGUCUAUUUCUGCAGGGGGUUAUCAGGAAAUACAGAAGAAAGGCCCACACGUCGGGAUUACAUAGAGAUAUUAAUGUGCCGCACAAUUUUCUAUCAUCUAGAAGACUCCAGAAGCCACGGGAACGAACGAGAAGGCAAACGGGCCCGGGGGCAGGGCGCCCGCCCACCCCCCUUGGGCGCCCGCCCAGGUGUUUCCACCAAUAACAGAAUGGAGUACACCAUUACAAAGAUCUCGUCGAGCUGAUCGAAAUGCAUAUAUUAUUUGCUAUAUUUGGAGUUCAGAAUCAAGAGAUAUUAAUAAAAGAAGGACUCCACAUAAAAGAGCUGCGGGAUUAAUUGGGCCCAAAUCAGAUUUUGGUCCAUGAAGGCCUAUGUGUAUUUUAAUGAGAUAUGGUGGAAAGUUUAGUACCACAUCGCCUGCUGAACCAAAAAUGCAUAGAGGAGGAGGACUAUAUAAGGAGACCCCCCUAGCCCCUGGAGAAGACAAGAAAUUAUCAUAGAGAUUGAGGGGUGCCCUCGAAGGAAAACCUCUUCUCUAAAUAAUAUUUCUUUUUAGGCAUAGCAACCAAUGUAAAGUAGAAAUAGAUCUUGUAGUUUCUACUAGAUUGAGAGAGAUAGAGUGGAGGUGUAGAUCGGAGAAAGGCCGGCCUGUCGGUGUCUACUCCGAGUUGUACCUACGGGAUCAAGUCUCCUAACCCGAGGCUUGCUUCUAAGAUUCUUCAGUAAUUAGACUUCUAAUACUAGUAAGUUCUUGUUUUAUUGUUCUUUGGUUUAUGAGUUUACUUUAAUCCUCUUCCGGUUGAGUAUUAGAGUAAUCACUUGUUAGCGUAAAUGUGGUGUUUAGGCUAGGGUACUCAUAGAUAUCCCCUGACUAGCUGGACCGUGGUAGUAGCAAGGAACGUGACAUUUCCGAGUUACCUUUGCAGAUCACAUCUCGUUAUCAGGACGGGUAGGUUUAUAGGUGCGGGUCGAACAUCCUUUGUGUUGUCUAGAUUCCGUGAGCCUCCCCAAUAGAACAGUAGAUUAUCCUUACCAAGGUUAGAACGAGACUACGGUUGCAGUCUUCUCUAUACAUCACUCACAUCGAGAAACAUUCUUUGUAGCCUAAAGGGAUAGUAGCAAUAGAUUCGGUUAGUCAGAUGCACCCUUUCUCCCAAUGGUAAAAAUAUAAAUACGAUACUCUGGAAAACCUCCCGGGUGAAAUGCUCACCGAUAUCCGUACGCUUGCGGAUCAUUUUCUAAUUGCGUUACCAAAUAUCAACAUAGUCUUCACUAUUUAUCACUCACAUCGAGAAACAUUCUUUGUAGCCUAAAGGGUUAGUAGUAAUAGACCGGGUUAGUCAGAUGCACUCUUUCUCCUAGUGGUAAAAAAAUAAAUACGAUACUCUAGAUAACCUCCCGGGUGAAGUGCUCACCGAUAUCCGUGCGCUUGCGGAUCAGUUCCUUAUUGCGUUCCCAAAUAUCAACAAUCAUUUCUGGCGCCGUUGCCGGGGAGAAAGACGGUUUGCUGAGAUAACCUUGAGUCUUACUACUAGCUUGUAUCUAUACUUUUAUCUUUUCUUAUCUUUUACAUUCUUUCUUUAUUUUCUUUACUCUUACCUUAUGGAAAACCAAGAUUCUAAAUCAAUCUAUCAAUUUGCAACACCUUCAGAAACUGACCUUUUACCAUGGGAGUCAUCACAGCCUAUCCAAACAUCCCUGUAUAAGUUAAGUUCUAGGUUGAUUGCCACGAUUCAAAACCUAUCUUUUUUGGGAAAGGAAGACAAAAACCCUUACAUUCAUAUUUGAGAUUUUGAGCAAACAUGUGAUUGUCUUCGCAUUGAAGGCAUUUCUGAUAAAACUUUACGUUGGAAGCUUUUUCCUUUUUCCUGAAGGGGAGAAGCUAGACAAUGGUACAGUUAGAAGGUAAGUCAACAACGAGGUGAAUGUGAAGUUUUACGAGCCAACUUUUGUCUAGAUUUUUAUUCCCUCAACCGUAUCCGUGACCUUAGACUCGAAGUCCUAUCUUUUAAACAAAAAGAUAAUGAAACUUUGGGAAAAUCCUGGAAACGUUUUUCUCAUAUUUUAGAAACUGGUCCAAACCUUAAUCUUGAAGACCCUGUUCUUUGAUUUCACUUUUUUCGAGGUCUUCACAAAAAACAUAAACAAAUGCUACAUACAAUGUCUAGAUGUUCUUUCUUUCGUAUCCCUACUGAUGAAGCUAGAGUGAUCCUAGAUAGAAUCCUAGAAGCUGAGAUAGAUAAUACCCUUCAUGAUGAAACCCACGAAGCCGAAGUAGACACUCUGCCAAAUUCUUCAUCUACUUCAGCUAUCCCAAGUUCUGAGCCACAAAAGGAAGAAAUUCCACCACCAGAUAUCAUGAUGGAUAUAGAAUCUGAUCUUUUUGCCGAUUUUGGAAACAUUUCAAACUACCAUUCUAUUGACAAACCCCAAAACAGCCAUUUUAGCAUCUGUUUGCCAACUGAAUAUCAAUUGAGAGAACUUAUCGCAGUCUUGAGUAGUGAAUGGUUGGAGGAAUCAAAGCUUUCCUCUGAUGUGAUCCGUUUGGACACACCCUCUAUAACUAUAUGUUGUCCUUGUGAUUCUGAUCGAUUUGAUGCUCUCUAUAAUCCUGUUGUGGGGAUCAACAUUAUGUCUGAAACUUUUGCACUUAAACUUUUUAAAAAUCUUGUCUUAACCCUCACAACAAAGGUCAUAAAGGAAUCUUCGGGACGAUUAGUCCCCAGUCUUGGAAUUAUUAAUGUCCUACCUCUUACGGUAGAAGGCUCCAUGGUUCAUUUGAACUUUUAUAUCUUUGAUACAUGGGACUUCGACCUGUUGAUAGGACAACCUUUUAGAAGACUCCUUUAUGAAGGUCAUACUAGAAAGCUACACAUUUCUUUUGGAAACCUUUAAAAUCCCAAUAACAAUUUCACACACCUUAAACAAUAAGGCCCAGUCAUAUCUUUUGCCUGAUCCUAUGGAGGAGGUAAAGGCUACAUCUCUAGAGCUUUUAGAUCAAUCAGACUUAGAAGACGAAACUCCUUUCUUCUCAGAAGAAGAAGCUGAACCUACUGAACCUAAACCCUUAGAUGAGUUUGCAGAAACACCUAGACCUCCCAUAGAGCUUAAAACUUUACCACCCGGUCUUACCUAUGCUUUUCUAAACAAUAAUCCAGAGUUUCCUAUGAUCAUUAGUGAUAAACUCACUCAGGAGCAAACUCUGCGAUUAAUGACCAUUCUUGAGAAACAUCACACAGUUUUUGGCUACUCACUUCAAGAUCUUACAGGAAUCAGUCCUAUGAUUUGUACCCGUCGUAUUCCAACAGAUCCUUCUGUUUCACCUUCUCGAGAGCCUCAACGUAGACUUAACAACACUAUGAGAGAGGUAGUUAAAAAGGAAGUUAUAAAGUUGCUGCAUGUAGGGAUUAUAUAUCCUGUGCCACACAGUGAGUGGGUAAGCCCAGUACAAGUUGUGCGAAAAAGGGAGGCAUGACUGUUAUUAUGAAUGAAAAGAACGAGCUAAUUCCGCAACGCACCGUAACAGGAUGGCGGAUGUGCAUAUACUAUGGAAAACUAAACAAAGCCACGAGAAAGGAUCACUUUCCUUUACCUUUCAUAGAUGAGAUGCUAGAGCGAUUAGCGAAGCAUUCGUUCUUCUAUUUCUUAGAUGGAUAUUCAGGGUAUCAUCAGAUCCCGAUCCAUCCUGAUGAUCAAAGCAAAACCACUUUUACAUGCUCAUAUGGAACUUAUGCUUACCGUAGAAUGUCUUUUGGGUUAUGUAAUGCACCAGCUUCUUUUCAAAGAUGCAUGAUGUCUAUAUUUUCUGAUAUGAUUGAAGAGAUUAUGGAAAUUUUCAUGGAUGAUUUCUCUAUUUAUGGAAAAACUUUUGAUAGUUGUCUUGAAAACUUAGACAAGGUUUUGCAAAGAUGUGAAGAAAAGCACUUAGUCCUUAAUUGGGAAAAUGUCAUUUCGUGGUUAGGGAAGGAAUAGUGCUGGGACACCUGGUGUUUGAAAGAGGUAUUAAGGUAGACAAAGCUAAAAUUGAAGUAAUUGAACAACUACCUCCACCUGUGAAUAUAAAAGGAAUUCUAAGCUUUCUUGGCCAUGCUGGUUUUUAUCGUAGAUUCAUAAAAGAUUUUUCAUUCAUUGCUAGACCACUUACUCUUUUGCUAGUCAAGGAUGCUCAUAUUCUAACAUCUUUCAAUUUAUUAAAGAAAGCACUCAUCUCUGCACCAAUCAUUCAACCCCCUGAUUGGUCGUUGCCUUUGAAAUUAUGUGUGAUUCUAGUGAUUAUGCUGUGGGGGCAGUUUUGGGACAAACUAAAAAUAAGAAGCAUCAUGCAAUUGCUUAUGCCAGUAAAACUUUGACAGGAGCUCAACUUAAUUAUGCAACCACUGAAAAAGAGCUUCUGGCUGUUGUCUUUGCCAUUGAUAAAUUUAGAUCCUAUUUAGUUGGAGCUAAAAUAAUUGUUUACACUGAUCAUGCUGCACUAAAAUAUUUGCUCACUAAAAAAGAUGCUAAACCUCACCUGAUUAGAUGGAUCUUAUUACUCCAAGAAUUUGACUUAGAAAUAAAAGAUAAAAAGGGAGUAGAAAAUUUUGUUGCUGAUCACUUGUCUAGAAUGUAUUUUAAGAGUCCACAGGAAACCCCCAUCAAUGAUUCACUCCGGGACGACAUGCUCUACGAGAUUAACAGGUCUGACCCCUGGUAUGCAGAUAUUGUUAAUUUUAUGGUUUCAGGGUAUGUACCACCAGGAGCGAACAAGAAGAAGCUUAUUCAAGAAAGUCGUUCACAUAUAUGGGAUGAGCCUUACCUCUUCCGAGUAUGCUCUGAUGGCUUACUCAAGAGAUGUGUGACCACUGAGGAAGGAUGGAAGAUCAUCGAUAGAUGUCAUUCAUCACCAUAUGGAGGUCAUUACGGAGCAUUCCAUACACAUUCAAAGAUUUGGCAGUGUGGAUUCUACUGGCCUACAAUGUAUGAAGACAAGAAGCAAUAUAUCAGAAGAUAUGGGCCAUGUCAAAGGCACGGAAACAUAAACACAAGGGAUGCCAUGCCACUCACCAACCUCCUUCAGAUUGAGCUCUUUGAUGUCUGGGGAGUAGACUACAUGGGUCCAUUUCCUCCAUCAAAGAAGUGUGAGUACAUCUUGGUGGCAGUUGAUUACGUCUCCAACUGGGUAGAGGCACUACCUUGCAAACAUGCUAACAACAUCAGUUCAAAGAGGAUGUUUGAAGAAAUUAUAUUUCCAAGAUUUGGAGUCCCCAGAGUAGUGAUAAGUGAUGGAGGAGCACACUUCAUCGACAAACGCUUCAAGCAAUAUCUAUCAAAACAUGGAAUCCGUCACAAUGUCAAGAAGAGACUUCCAAUAAACAAAUCAAAAAUAUUCUUCAGAAGACAGUGAAUGAAAUGGGAACGGCAUGGAAAGACAAGUUACCCGAUGCACUCUGGGCAUACCGGACAGCGUACAAGACUCCAAUUGGAAUGUCCCCAUACCAAUUGGUGUACGGGAAGACUUGCCACCUACCUGUUGAACUAGAGUUCAAAGCACACUGGGCCAUAAGGAGAUGGAAUAUGGACCUAGAUGUUGCUGGAAAACAUAGAAGAAUGCAACUAUCAGAAUUGGAAGAAUGGCGGGAGAAAGCAUAUCACAACUCGAAGAUCUACAAAGAAAGAGUCAAAAGGUGGUAUGACAAGAGAAUCAAGAAGGAGUUCACACCCGGAGAUAAGGUAUUACUUUUUAAUUCCAGGGUGAAGCUUUUCGGGCAUGGAAAACUCCGGAGCAAAUGGGAAGGACCAUUUAAGGUAAUCAAUUCAUCAUCUCACAGAGCUAUCACAAUUCAAAAUGAUGAUGGUACGUUAUUCAAGGUAAAUGGUCAACGUCAUAAAUUAUUUUUAGAGCCCAAUAAAGAAUUAGAAGAAAUAGACGUAAUCCAUUUUUUCCUUCCCAUAGAGAAUUAGAGCCGGACCUUUUUAGUCUGACGUUUUUGGGUCAUACAUAUAUUUUCCUAAAAAGUUUUGCAUUUAGAAACACGCUCGAGGAAGCGGACCACAGAGCAGACAGAGAGAGGGCGGGCGCCCAGCUCUUGUUCCCCCUCGGUCCCGAUUUUCUCUGUUAUGGAAAAUACACUUAUGGUAAUCCGAAUAAUCCCUCAGAUGGAAAGUUUCUCACGCACAUCAACUGGAGCAACCCGAACAACCCCUAGAGACACUUUUUGACCCCUAUAUAAACAGACCCCUGACAACAGUUUUCAAACACCAAUCCACCCAAGCCUUCUCUUCUUCUUCAAUUAGAGCUUGUUUAGUCCCUCGCUGCUCCAAUGGCCGAGAAGUUCCACGAUGAUUGGGAAGUCGUCCCCUUCAACCUCAACAUGGAGCCUGCGGAAGACCCUGACGCCCGUGCUCUCGUCACGGCCAACACAGAGCAACAGCUAGAAGCCAUGCCCUUACGCCAACGCAGCUCCGCCCAAUCCUAUCAUGCUCAGCCAGUUCUCACCGCACCGCCACAACCCCUACUCCUCAAGGGAUCAUCAUCCAAGACGAAGACCGCUAUCAAGGUGCCAGCCGGUGUUGGGUAUUCUUAACAUCAAUACCAAAAGUAGACAGUUUUCUAAUUCUAGUAACGGUGCCAAAAAUGCCAAACCUAUACCUCAUACCACUUAAGCCAAGUUGUCAUCCCAAGCAUGACAUGAGAGGUGCGGUAUUGAAAUAUGCUAUUGCUCUUCUAAAUAAAUAAUGAAUGAGAUCUGCAAGCGCACAGAUUAAUACCGAUGUAGCAUUUUAACCGGGAAGUAUUCCAGGUAUCGUUAUUUAUAUUUUUACCACUGGGAAGGGAUUAACGAUCAUCAGAGAGGGGGCGGGCGCCCAGUGCCUGGCCCCGUUCGGCCUCCGCUUCCUUCCCGUGGCUUCUAGAGUCUUCUAGAUGUAAGAUAAUUGUGCUGCACGUUAAUAUCUCCAUGUAAUCCCGACGUGUGGGCCUUUCUUCCGUAUUUCCUGAUAACCCCCUGCAGAAAUAGACAAACACCAAAACUCAUGGAAUUCUUUCAGAUAAAACCCUGAGUCUAGAUGUUGAUUUCAUUUGGAUCCUUUUCUUUGUUUAUUUGAUAAUUAAGUUUGAUACUUAAGGACCAUCAACAGCCGGCACGAGGAUCCUUCCACUUAGACCCAAUGAGAGGGUCGUUGGAGUCAAGACCAACCGGAGCGGCGAGAUCAGUAGCAUUCGCUACACUACGGAGGAGGAAAGGCCUUACUUUGAAGGGAUUAGAGGAGCUAAAGUCCGUUUCAUCCCUCCAAAGGCAGCCCCGAAGCAUGCUCUAAAUGCUUUUGAGACACCUCCUAAGCGUCGCAAGACCAUAGUAGAUAUUGAUGAGGACAUUCGCUGGCUAGACAGAGUCAUCAUAGACCUCCAGUCCUCAGUUAAUUCCCUCACUAGGCAGCUCUCUAACCACAACACCGUUAUACUAGGCCUUAGGCAGGAUCUUGCCACUGCCAAUAAGAAGAUCAAGGUAUUAGAGCGUCGCUAAGUUAUCUAAAUUAGAUCUUGAGGCAAUGUAUCCUAGUUAUUUAUCUUUAAAUUUGGUUUAAGUUUACUAUUAUCGUGAGUUUGCUACUAUUAUCGUCAGUUCGCUACUAGUAAUUUGUAAUAAAUGCCUCAAAAUUAAUAAAGAGUAUUAUUAUUAUUAUUAUUAUUAUUAUUAUUAUUAUUAUGUCUUGUGUGUCUCUACUUUAUUUUUGUGCAAGAAAGCAGAAAACAAGUAUGGGGGAGAUCCCUCGACAUGCUAAACACACUUCGACUACACCACUCCACGAUUCAGGUACACACUCUGCACACUUUACACAUACAUAUAUCUUGGAUUAUGUAGAAUAUUGUUUCCGACAUGAUAAAUUAAAAAGAUUAAAAUGUUUCUAAUCGUGAUUAAUCUCACUCUCUGAUAUUUCUUGGAAACUACAAAUUAUUGAAAAAUCAUUUUAAAAACCAUGUGUUACUUAAGUCAAUAUGGAAUAUGAGAUGGUAGAGCAUGAGUUUCUUAUUCUCGAUAUCAUUGUUGCUUGGAGAAUUUAUUUCAAAAUCUUCAAAAUUGUAGCUACCAUCUUAAGUGUUUUAUAUGCAUGAUAAGACUAAAAAUAUUAAUUAUGAUUAUAAAUCUAUCUACUCUGUAUUGAGUUUGUUCAAAAUGAGUUAGACCCUUGUUGAGAGAUUUAUCAUGCUCCUAAGAUAAAGACAUUUAUUCAGGAAGAUUCACUCUUCUGAAGUAUUAUUGCAUUAGAGGCAUGGGCUAUGCAAAAAUAAGGAUAUUUCGAGGAAAUAAAAAGAAGCAAGUGCUCGAUAACCACGCAGAAAAAAUGGACAAGUGUCCGGCAGUAGAAUUAUGGGUACCUCGUUAUGUACUUAAAAAAAAGAAGAGAAAAGAAAAUGAUAGCCCAUGGUCCCUCUAAUAAGCAAUAUGCCCGCAAGAGUUGACAAAGAUUUUAAUUUCCAAAAGUCUUUGAUCUAAGAGUAUGACAUUCCCCUCCUCGGAUCCCGUUUUGAUCAGGCAAUAAAUAUAAGGUAAGUAUGCUUGAGAAUUUUUGCAUAUUAAAACAGCCUCAGUGAGAUGUAUAAAAGAUAAUAAGUGAUCUGAGAGAACCUAUAAGGAUAAAAGGUAUGCUAACUUUCUUUUCAAAAAUAUACAAAAACUCUAAGUGACAGGAUUGAGAAGAAAGGAUCUUUACUCUUAACCAUAUACUUCCCUAACUAUAGUACACAGUUGAUUUUAACACCCUGCAGUUAUGAAGAGAAUGUUUUAAAAAUGUUUUACCCCAAAUAUUGUCCUUAACCAUCCUUUUCUCGAGGAUGAGUAAAAGCCUAAGUAUGGGGGUAUUUGUUGAUGGUUCUUAAGUAUCAAUUUUAAUUAUCAAAUAAACAUGAGAAAAGACCAAUAUGCAAACAACACCUAGAAUUAGGGUUUGAUCUGACAGAAUUCCACGAGUUUUGUUGUUUAUCUGUUUCUGCAGAGGGUUAUCAGGAAAUAAGGAAGAAAGGCCCACAUGUCGGGAUUACAUAGAGAUAUCAACGCACCGCGCAAUUUUCUACCAUCUAGAAGACUCCAGAAGCCACGGGAAGGAAGUGGAGGCUGAACAGGGCCAGGCACUGGGCGCCCGCCCAGUUGACCUGGGCACCCGUCCCCCUCUGGACUUUGUUCGGGACUCUUUUCGCGAACGACACUCCACCGACCUAAAGGAUCAAGGAUAACCGUCCAAUCAAUGUCGGUUUGAUCCAAUGGCUCACGUUCACUUGAGGGGACUAUAAAACCAGACCCCCUGGCCCCUGGAGGAGACAAGUUCAUCAUAGAGUUGAGAGGAGCCCUCGAAGGAAAACCUCUCCUCUAAAUAAAAUUUCUUUUUAGGUUAGCAACCAAUGUGAGUAGAAAUAGAUCUUCUAGUUUCUACUAGAUUGAGAGAGAUAGAGUGGAGGUGUAGAUCGGAGGAAGCCCGGCCUGUCGGUGUCUACUCCGAGCUUCUACCUGCGGGAUCAUGUUCUCCUAACCCGAGGCUUGCUCCUAGGAUUCUUCAGUAUUUCGACUUCUAAAUUUUAGUAAGUUCUUGUUUUAUUGUUCUUUUGGUUUAUGAGUUUACAUUAAUCUCUUCGCGUAGAGUUUAGAGUAAUCAUCUCUAGCGUAGACGUAGUGUUUGGGCUAGGAUACUCAUAGAUAUUCCCUGUCAAGCUAGACCACGGUAGUAGCGAGGAAUGUAACAUUUCUGAGUUACCUUUGCAGACCAUAUCUCACUAGCAGGAAGGAUAGGGUUUAUAGGUGCAGGUUGAACAUCCUUUGUGGUGUCAAGAUUUCGUUAGCGUCCCCAAUAGAACAGUAGAUCAUCCUUACCAAGGUUAGAAGGAGAUUACGGUUGUAGUCUUCUCUAUUUAUCACUCACAUCGAGAAACAUUCUUUGUAGCCUAAAGGGUUAGUCAGAUGCACUCUUUUUCCUAGUGGUAAAAAAAUAAAUACGAUACUCUGGAUAACCUCCCGGGUGAAGUGCUCACCGAUAUCCGUGCACUUGUGGAUCAAUUCCUUAUUGCGUUCCCAUAUAUUAACAAGGCCCUCUACAAAAAGCGGCAGGAGGAUACACCCAUUUGCUGGUGGCCAUCGACAAAUUCUCCAAAUGGAUCGAGGCUCGACACAUCACGAACAUCCGCUUUGAGCAAGCCAUCCUCUUCUUCACCGACAUCAUCCACUGGUUUGGGAUACCCAACGUCAUCAUAACCGACAACGACACCUAGUUCACCGGCAAAAAGUUCUUGGACUUCUGUGACCUGCAUCACAUCCGUGUGAAUUGGUCUGUAGUAGCUCAUCCUCGAACUAAUGGCCAGGUCGAGCAUGCCAACGACAUGAUACUACAGGGGCUAAAGCUAAGAAUCUACAACCGGUUGAAGAAAUUCGGCAAGAAAUGGGUCGAAGAGCUCUCUUCGGUCCUAUGGAGUUUAAGGACGACGCCUAGCAGGGCCACAAAAUAUACCCCAUUCUUCAUGGUCUACGGCUCUGAGGCCGUGCUUCCAACGGAUCUUGAGUAUGGGUCACCUCGACUCAAGGCCUACAACGAGCAGACGAAUAAAGAGACUCGAGAUAACGCGGUCGACCAGCUCGAGGAAGCUCGAGACAUGGCCCUCCUCAACUCCGCCAGGUACCAGCAGAAGCUUCGACGCUAUCACGACAAGCACGUGCGCAAAAGGGAUCUGAACGUGGGCGAUCUCGUCCUACGGCGAUGGCAAAGCAACCAAGGACACCACAAGCUAACACCGCCCUUGGAAGGCCCAUACGUGGUGGCCGAGGUCCUGAAGCCAGGGACGUACAAGCUCGUAGACGGAAAUGGGGCGGUCUUCACCAACGCGUGGAACAUCGAACAGCUACGUCGAUUCUAACCCUAGAGUUUUGAAGUUUUAUGCUUUUAUGUACAUUCUGUACAAAGAUCCUAUGAAUGAAUGCAUGAAUAAACGUGAUCUUUUCCUCGAGCAAUUUACUUUUUCACCGGUCAAGGUCUCGACGAUAGAAGGGAGUACCAACUAUACUCCCUCGGGGGCUAGCAUGGGGGACCCCCCCAAGUUCCUAAAAACCAAACGAUUUUUUCUUUUCCUACAAGUAAACCUCGCACGGUCGAGUAGUAAAGGCACCUCGAGCCCCUUAAGGGCCGAGAGACAAGGAGUCUGAGAACUCCUACGCCCCCGGGCUAUGGUAACUCUACACACUCCCUCACCCUCGAGGCAAUCAAGGUCGCCUUAACAAAAGACCGAACGAGGGAACAAAGGAAUGUCGAGCACAAAAAUUAGCAAAUAUUCACAGAUCAUAGAAAACCAUUCAAAGCACAAUGUAUCACUUAUACUUUAAAGUGGGUCUUCACACCCACCAUAGGCUCGCAGGCCUCAGUGCGCAUCUCCGCCCUCACCACCAUCAUCCGCACCCGGGCUAGUCUCGGGAGGAAGUUCUUCUGGCUCGAAUAGCCUCGCCAACCUUUCUCUAGGGGCCUCCGCGUCGUCGAUCAAGGCGUGGAGCCUCUCCUCAUUCUUUGCGUCAGUCUUAGAAAUAUCGUUGACGAAGCCAUGGGACAACCGCCAUUGCCCGGUUCACCCCGGUAUGAAGAGCGUCCCGCACUCGAUCCCUCAGCGUGGCGCCUAGGUAGCACAGCUGAUCGACCAGCGCGUCGCCUCGAGCCUCCUCCCUCGACUCAUCCACAGGCCUCGGCUCGGCGUCUCCCACCUGGCGAGCGCCAGGACUAGUACUCCUACGACCUAUUUCCCCCUUACUCGAGGCUGCGGCGCGGCCACGGGUCAACGGCCCCGUCGCCAGAGACUUAACCCGGUGGCCUGCCUUAGACGCGGGAGCAGGUUGGGGGUGGGGGGCGGCCCGACCCUGCGUAGGCACAGGAGGGUAUCAAUGUGCGAAUGGCACGGAGAGGACUCCCCCCGUUGGCCAUCGCAGGACCCGCUCGACGCCCCCUUAGGGGCCCCCGUCCGUGGGACGACGACAUCGGCUUGCGGUGGGCCCUCGAGGAUUCUGUCGAGACGGGCCGCCAUCCCCUCAGAGUCGUCGCUGCCGUUGUCGCCCUCGUUGCCGUCGUCCUCGUUGGGAGAGUCCUCCUCAGGUUCCCCCCUUUGCCUGGACUUCGCCCGACGUGUCUCCAGCGCUUGUCGCUCGAGAUUCUUCUUCUUUUCCUUCUUCUUUUCUAAGUCCUUUGCGGACUUCUGCUUCUCCGCGGACUCACGCCUCUUGUCGCGAUCGACAUUGUCCUCCUUCAUCGGAGGCUUUGAGGAUCGAGCGUCCAUUGAUCCCUGCACGAGCAAAGAUAAGUCUUAAACAAGAUCGAAGAAAAUCAAGAAUCGAAGCCAUAAAGGGGAGGACUUACCUGGUCAAUCGACCCCUUAUCAGGCCUCAUAGGGGAAGCCGUUGACAAUGUCGGGCUGAAAGUCGCCCGCGACGGCCGCCCUAACUCUGGCCGCGACCUCUUCAUCCGCAGGGGCCUCGUUGGACAUUCGGCAUGCCUCGAGAUCCCGGUAUGAAACACCGAGACCCAUCUCGUCCAUCCUCAGCGGCUGGGACAUCAACGGGAGGAUCCUCCGGUGAUGGACAGCUGAGAGGACGAGCGUGGCUGUCAGGUCCUCCUCGCGCAGUUUCCUCAGGGUGUCGAGGAUGGGAUCGAGAUGUGGUUGAUGGGUCUGGACGACCCCAUACCUCCACUGGUCCGGGCGCUCCGAGAUCAAGCACCCGGUGUAGGCGAGGAGGAGGUCGUCGUCAUUCCGCAGGUGGAACCAUUGGGAGUCCCACCCGGUGUGGUUCGACGUCAACCCCACCGGGGUGUACUCACGCGGCUUCUCCGCCUUGCCGGUCUUCAGCACCAGGUUGAGGCACCCGGCCCGCACCAGCUUCCUCACCCCUGUGGUUCCACUAGGGGCGUGGAAGAGCUCGCCCCGGUACAAGUGGAGCCACAGGUCCCAGUGUGGCAUCAUCCCGAGGUAGCCCUCACACACCGUGGCAAAAACUACCGCGGCGGUGAUGGCGUUCGGUGAAAAAUGCUGGAGCUCCACCCCGUAAUGGUGGCAGAGCACCCGCAUAAAACGGCUCGGAGGAGAGCCCAGGCUGUGGCGGUGGAACUUGGUGAAGGAGACCACAUAGCCAUUGGGUGGUCUUGGUUCCCCGUGAUCCGCUGCCAGCGCAAUCCACUCCGGCCGCGACUAGGAAAUGCGGGGACGCAGGAGCCCCUCCCUCUCGAGCUCCAAUAACCGGUGCUCCGUCAUCGACGACGGACGCCAGUCGUCGGCAGCGAUGAGUCUCACCGGCAUCCUGAGGAGGAAGGAGAAUGACUCUGCUACUGCUCGAGGAUGCGUGCGCAUGUGAGAUGGCAAGAAAGCAGAGGCAAGAACAAGGGCAGGAGGUGGAAGGAGCGACGGCAGGGAGACCCAAGGAUAUUUAUAGACGGCAACCACCAAUGGACAGAUCCAGCGAAUACGGUAACUCCCUUAGUAAAUACGCCGCCUAACAGUCCUUACUCCUCUCACGGACUGGGCGCUACGAAUUCCACGCCGGUACAAUGCCACAAUGGCUCCCGCCUGAAAAGGCGCGCCCAACAGGCAAAAAGGCAAAUUGCCGCGGUCCCUUCCUUCCCCUGUAGCUAAGGUACGCAUUCGUUAUGAUGAAAAUCUCAAGAGGUCGCAGGCUGACCCACCGAACGGAUUCGACAGCCGAUCUUGAGUACCAGAGUCAGGGAUGCCCAGCGUGUGGUCGAAAAGCUAGGCCCGCCUCGAGAACUUGCUGGGGAUGUCCAAGGCGAGGACGAGACGGUUGAAAGGGAUCCCCACAAAGGGAGGCAUCGAGCCGCUGGACUCUAUCGAACGAGACCAGUAACCCCGACCACAUCGACCCCGCUUUAUGAGAACGCCUCCGGGCUACAGCAGACCCCCUCAAUCUGGGGUAAGUGACGCUUGCUCCACCGGGAGUACGUCGCAAUCCUGAUGCAAAGCCAACCGAUCGAAGCCUCUAGCUCCUCUUCCAUGAUGAACGACAAGAAGCGCUUCCGUCAGAUAAGGCAGCAUAACCCUCAAAGGAGUCAAAGACUCCUCUAAGGGCUCGGGGGCUACCCCCGUGGGGGUCGCUCGUGCGACCCCACAGAAACUCGACCGACAAGAAGAGCCUCUACUUUAGUGCAAAGUACUCGAAUAGAGACUCGGGGGCUACUAUCGAGGAUAUCAGGAACCGGUACCCUAACCAAUGCACACAAUGGGAACGCCCGUACAUGAAUCGAGGCCCUCGACUCGACACCCCCCCAGUCGUGUGUACGAUUGACAAGACAACGCGACGCCCAUGGCCUCGAACACCGAAAGAGCACCAUGUGAAUCAACAGGGGCUCGACCGAACAACAACCGUCGAAUACAGAAACUGGCUCGUACAAGUCGACUAGCCUCGAGCGCAAGGACGCCGCCCGCCGCCUGACGCGGUUGCGAGAACCAGGGCAUUUAAUGCGCCUGUCACAUUCUCACCUAACCCGACAGUCACGGGAAGCAUGAUAGGGAGCAAGCACCCAUCUAAUCGCCCCUUUUGCAGCCUUGUCCACCGGAUGAGUCAGAGCAUGGCAGGGCGCAGCAAGGCAAACGGGACAUCUCGUCACGUCCCCCCUCGAGACACCCAAAGUCAGCGCUCUAACCAGCAGGGCUUUACGCGACGUUAGGACCUCGAACAAGCACUUUCCUUCCCUCAGAAGAGUCAGACGGCGAAAGACAGAGCCCCAACCACCUCGACGCAACUGUAGCCACGACGUACAGGCGUGCCCGCGGUUGAGCCAAUCCAAGACGACAUGCAGAAGCCGGAUUCAGUGCCACGCGUAAUCAUCGUCCAGGUACUGGGUAACAAGACAGCUCGAGGCCAUGCCGGUAUGGAAGCCUCGAGUAGGUCAGCGCGCCACAGCCCUAUCGACCCCUACUCUGUCACCUACGCAUGUUGUUGAUAUUUGGUAACACAAUAAGGAAAUGAUCCGUAAGGGCACGGAUAUCGGUGAGCAUUUCACCAGGGGGGUUUUCCAGAGUAUCGUAUUUAUAUUUUUACCACUGGGAGAAAGGGUGCAUCUGACUAACCAAAUCUAUUGCUACUAUCCCUUUAGGCUACAAAGAAUGUUUCUCGAUGUGAGUGAUGUAUAGAGAAGACUGCAACCGUAGUCUUGUUCUAACCUUGGUAAGGAUGAUCUACUGUUCUAUUGGGGAAGCUUACGGAAUCUAGACAACACAAAGGAUGUUCGACCCGCACCUAUAAACCUACCCGUCCUGCUAACUAGAUAUGAGAUACAAAGGUAACUCGGAAAUGUCACGUUCCUCGCUACUACCACGGUCCAGCUAGUCAGGGGAUAUCUAUGUGUACCCUAGCCUAAACACCACGUUUACACUAGCAAUGAUUACUCUAAUACUCAAUCAGAAGAGGAUUAAAGUAAACUCAUAAACCAAAGAACAAUAAAACAAGUACUUACUAGAAUUAGAAGACGAAUUACUGAAGAAUCUUAGGAGCAAGCCUCGGGUUAGAAGACUUGAUCCCGUAGGUACAACUCGGAGUAGACACCGACAGGCCGGCCUUCCUCCAAUCUACAACUCCACUCUAUCUCUCUCAAUCUAGUAGAAACUAGAAGAUCUAUUUCUACUUACAUUGGUUGCUAAGCCUAAAAAGAAAUUUUAUUUAGAGAAGAGGUUUUCCUUCGAGGGCACCCCUCAACUCUAUGAUCACUUCUUGUCUUCUCCAGGGGCCAGGGGGUCUCCUUAUAUAGUCCUCCUCCUCUAUGCGUUUUUGGGUCGGUAGGCGAUAUGGUACUAUGUUAUCCUUGAUCCUUUAGGUCGGUGGAACAUCGUGUGCGAAGAGAGUCCCGAACGGAGUCCAGGACAGGGCGGGCGCCCAGGGAAAGAGGGCGGGCGCCCUGGGCCUGGCCCCUUCCGGCCUCUGCUUUCUUCCCGUGGCUUCUGGAGUCUUCUAGAUGGUAGAAAAUUACGCGGUGCAUUGAUAUCUCUAUGUAAUCCUGACAUGUGGGCCUUUCUUUCAUAUUUCCUGAUAACCCCCUGCAGAAAUAGACAAACACCAAAACUCGUGGAAUUCUAUCAGAUAAAACCCUAAGUAUGGGUGUUGGUUGCAUUUGGAUCCUUUUCUUUUUUUAUUUGAUGAUUAUAUUUGGUACUUAAGGACCGUCAACAACUCCCCAAGCUUACCUCUUGCUCAUCCCUGAGCAAGGAUGAACUCAAGAGUUUCUGCAGUGGUUUCAUGCCUUAAAAAUACACACCCAUUCAAGCAAGAUCUCAUCUCUGAGUUAGAAUAAACUGUGAAGACUUAAAACUAACUCAUUUUACCUUUCACCAUGGGCCUUGUAACUGUCACUUCUAUCUUGAGCAGUUAAAAGAUAGAACGGUCAAGUCAAGCGCCAUGUCUCUUAUUCUUGAUCAGCUAUAGCUCUGGAGUUUUUGCAGAUUUUCAAAUAAAACUCAGAGAUUCCUUGUAUGACUCUCUCAAAUCUCUCUUUUGUGGUAUUUCUAGAUCCUUUCCAAGGCAGUAAUGGUAUAUGCCUUCUCUCAAAGUAUGUGGUAUUUUUGGUAUAAGGCAUAGUGAUAUUGCCUUCUAGACACCAAAUUCAAAUAAGGUUUUGAUAUCUGGAGCUCAUAGGUGGGAGACAGCUAAUACACACUUACAAGACAUUUAUUGCAUAGUCAAACCAUGGAUCCAGAGAAACAAGUCAAUAAGUCAAAUCAAGAUGUGCAUGUGUGGCGAAUGAAUGGUGUAUGGUGAUGAUGGUGAUAACAAUGGUGAAAGUCUAAUUCUACUUUUGCUCUUUUAAGAGGAUACAUACCUUUCUUGCACUUUGAAGCUUUUUGGGGAGAAUGAGAUGCUCUAUAUUUUCUUUUUCUUUCCUCUCAGGUGGGUAUCUUGUACCCCUAAUUCUACUGUCGGACACUUGUCCAUUUUUACCUCUCGUCUCACUUUUUCUUUUCUUCGAGGUUUCGGGCACUUGCCCCUUUUUAUUUCCUUGUAUUUUUUUCUUUUUUUUUCUUUUUUUUCUCUUCUUCUUUUUCACUUCUUCUUUUUUUGGAGCACUCAUCUCCUGAAAUAAUGUAGCAAGUGGUAGUAAACAAAAUAACUCGAGCAUUUGUUCCAUAGGGAAUAACAGGGAUAGGAUAAUGUUUUUGGCUAUUCUCUCCCGGAUUAGGAGUAGAAUACUUUUGGGUGAAUCUAGAGAUGGAAAUGAGUGGAUGUAUGUGGAUGCGUACUUCCAGAGUAGAAGCAGCAUAUACGAGUGAACAUGCAAGUGAAUCUUGAUUUUAACCACAUGACAAGCCCCUAAGGGUCUACACAGCUUGACCACACUCAAUGGUCAUAAGCAGUAAAAAGUAAAUGUUUGGCUCAAAGUCUAAUAAGCAUGUAUAUAUGGCUGUGUUAGGAUUUUAAACUCUCAUCAUACAGGAACUCAUCAUGUGUUAUUUUAAAGAUUUUGAAAGAUAAAAUUCUCCAGAAUUCUAGCAUCUCUAGGAACAGAUAAAUAGCAGCUCAACCUUCCCAUAUCAUAUCCGUUAACGACUUAGACUUUAGAUCAAAUACUCUUCCCACAAGUUCAGGUUUAGAGCAGGUUUAAAUUAUAACAGUUAUGCCUAAACUUGAGAGAGAUUUCAAUUUUAAGAACUAGUCAUGGCAGAGCAACUAUUCAUCAUUUCCAUGUGAGAGCUUAUCAUAAGGGUUCACAGCAAACUUUAUUUAUUUAGCAAACUAAGCAAAGAUAUAAGCACAAAAUUUUUAUUUGGGUUUUCAUGGUUAUGCAUCUUUCUAUUAUUUGAGUAAAAUAUAAACACGAGUAGAAACACUUAGCUGGAUAAAUAGGGGUGCUCUCCCGCAAGCUGGAUUUUGAUGUAAUUUCUUCUGAUGUAGCUAGCAAGUGACGGAGGUGUAUUCGAAAGUUGGCAGUACCCUGACAGUGAUUAGGAUAUCCUCCGUCUGCUAGUCUUCUUUGAUCCUUGAAUUCUGUGGAGCUCAAAUAGACAACAAAGCUUUGUGGAACUAGUUAAGUGUUAGCAUAAAAUCUCUUUGCCUUUAUCAUAUGGAGCUUCCUCCUAAUAAAUUUUAUUUAGCAGGAUCAUGCACUUAUUAUUUAUAUUUUUAUUGUAAGAUGAAAACAUAUUUAUUUUAUGCCACCACAGUGAAUGUACCUAUGGGUUUUAUGCCAUGAGCAUACUCACAUGGGGCUUACUAUUUUUAACAUUUUUAUUUUCUUUUCAAGAUAUCAUGAACCUGAUUAACUAGGCAAACUAUUGAAUGGAAAAGGAUAACUACCAAGUUUACCUCUUGGCAAGGCGUUUGUUAUUUUUAAGUCCUCCAAACGGGACUCUCCGUUUUCUCAGUCGUCCGGGGAUUCGCUGGAUGGCGUAGUCGAUGAUUCCGGUGCGCCUCCUCUUCGUGUAUAACUAUCUUCUCUCUCCACACCUAACUCGGUGCUACGGUCUCCUCAGGAUAGUUCUGUUCAAGCUGUAUGUCUUCAGAUCUUACUACUUCUUCUUCGUAAUCUACCCAUCCGUCCUUGAUGAUUUGCCUCCUCUGGUUGCGGUUGCGUUGUCUUCUUCUUGUCCUGACCUGCUUAGAAUCUUCAACUAUAUAGUUAGAAUCAUUAAAGUAGUGGCGUACCUUCUUAGAGGGGAAGUGCAUGUGGGCUUCUCCGGUUCCAAUAUAGAUGAUGGCUUUGAUAGUGUUUGAGGAACAGUCUUCCAAGGAUGGUAGGUGGAUCAUACUCGUCUUCUCCCAUGUCAAUGACCUGAAAAUCGUCUGGAGCUGAAUAUAUGUUGGUUGUAGUGGCAUGGUUCCAUGCAGGAGCUGAUAAGUGACUGCGGCCAUUAUGUUGUCGUCAGAUCCAGUGUCAUAGAGUGUCUUCUGAAAAGAGUAUCUAUUGAUUGUGCACUCAAUGCUUGGAACAGUAGGGUCGUCCUUCUUGAUCAGGAAAGGCAACUUGAGUCGACGAUCUUGACCUCCUCCGACAAGGAUCCAAAGUUUUAAAUCUUCUGGACAAGACUUCUCACUGUCUUCAUCCUUUAGGUGCAUCAUUUGAUUAGGUGUGGACCUUGACGUCUGCACUUCUUGAUACGGUGUCACCUAUAUUUUUUGAUUGCCCAGCAGUUCGAAGUGCGGUGUUGGCAAUAUCCUGCUCAGUGUGUUUGUGCUCAUAGAUCCAGGUCCUUCACUUGGUGGAAUCUGGGAGUUGUAAAACUCCUCCAUGUGUUUGCUUGAAGUGUACCUGCUCAUAGAGACAAGGCAGAGAUCAAGUGCAUAGGCCCUAUUGGUGGAAAACACCAACAGAACCAAAAGUGUAUUUGUUCUUCUCUAACCUUAAGCACAGUGAGCAAGAAAAAGUUGAUGGAUCAUGAGUGUAGCAUUUGUCACAUCAGAUGGCUCAACCUAAUGGAAAGAUAAUCUAUCUAUAUUUAUGUUUUGUUUAUAUCUUCCAAAGAUUGAAUGUGCAAUACUUUAGCUUAUAUGAUUAGGAGUGUGGGAUCACGAAUGUAGUACUAAGAACAAAGAUUAAAGGACUAAACAUGCUGAAUCAAUUGAGUUGGUUAAUUUGGAGUUACAAAUCAUACAUGUUUGUCUCUUUAUUUUAUAUGUAUGCCAAAACCAAAGAGAAGCUUAUAAAAGUGAUAGUCGCGUACCUUAAGAUGUUACCUUACUUGAAGAGUGAUGGUAUAGUAUCACCUUGUGGAAGCUUUCCUUUCUUAGCGGUUGUGCAUCGUGUUUGUGGCACUCUUUGUCUUGUUCCAUGGAUCAUCUCUCUAUGAUGAAUGAGCAAUGUCUUCCUUGUUCAAAUCGUUAAACUUUAUGUGUCUCCUUUGUCUCCAAUUUGAGUUUGUAUCUCAGGACUUCCCAGGUUGAUAUUGAAAGUUUUCCUGCAGGGGUUAGUCUGACAAAAUAUACCAAUGCCUACUCAAGCAGUUUUUAGUUCAGUAACCAAACUAGACUCCAUGUCUAAUCAGAUUAAGGAAGGAUAUUUAACCUAAGCACCAUGCUUAAUUUAAAUGCCAAUGGAAGUAUGUCGAGUACUUCCAAACCAACACUUACUUAAGAUAAACAUAGGUAGCAUGAUGGUAUUUAUAGAGAUCUACUCAAGUGGAGAUGAAGUAGUGUGAUUAGUAUUUAACAAAUUGAGCAUGUCUUAAAGGUAAGGACAACCAACAGAACAACAUGGCAAAUGAUGUUUUUAUGUAAAGUACUCCCCCAAGCUUGAAUUUUGCAAAAUUCAAGUUUGGAUGAAUUUAAUUCAAUGUUGUAUGAUGAUUGGUUGGACAUACCUUGUGCUUGUCAUUCAUCCGAUCUUCUUGUUCUAAUCCUAGAAAGGUUAGUGGCAAGAAUACCGGAAGGAAUAUUUCUACAAUUAUCUUUAUAUGCUCAAUACACAAAGCAAUGUUGCAAAUACUUAGAAGUUCAUGUUACGAUCUGAUAAGUGCUUGUUUUAGGACACUAAGCUUGUCCUUGGGAAACCAUCAAUUAACUCAACGAGAUCUGCAAUAUUUAUUAUAGACAUAUGCAUCAACAACCGCUCUUUUAAAGUUGUUAUAAAUAGAAAGGAAGAGGGGGUUGGAGAUCUCAAAUGUGGUGAUGUUGGAGGGACCAAUUGAUUGGGGAGAUGUUUUAUAUGAGCAAGGACUUGAUGAGGUAUUUAUGAAAUAACAUCCAUGCUCAAUGUUGUUUCUCUCAUUCUCAAACUCCAAGGAUGAUUCUUCAUGAAUGCUUAAAAUUCCUCUAGGAUUGUCUCUCAAGUUUGUUUUAUCUAUCCAUUCAAUGGUGAUAGCACAUGGAUUUUUAAUGCCCUCUAGCCAUUGAUGUUGCUCUUCUCGAUCCUCCUUGUGGUCUUGGUGACUCUUAUGAAUGGGAUGUCUAGAGAGAUUCAUAGGAUCAUUGGGAGGUUCAAGAGAAUGAGCAUAGUAGAAACUAUUAAGCUCAAGGAUGGGAUGGAUAGCCGAAUCAUGGGAUUGAAAUGUUUGGAAAUUGGCUAUUGAAACUUCAUUUCCUUGUCUGGGAGAUGAUUCCUUCUCCAUCUCUUGGAUAUUUUUAUGAAGACUAGUGCAUGAAGGAUGUCCACAAAUGAAGACAUACCUUCCUUUACUAAUAGAUAAAGAAAGAAAGACUCUACCGAAGGUUAUAUGAUUAAGACCAAUGUGAAAAUAUCGAGAAAAAACAUGGUCUGGUAGGGCUAGGUUUAAACCAGAAUUUAUAGAAAGAUUAACAGAUUCCCUAGGUGUCGCUAAAAGUUCAUUAUCUUCUUGAUUAAAAGAUAGGACCUCAGCUAUAGAAAAGGGUUGGUUUUGACCUAUUGCAAUCAACUACGGACACAGAUCAUAAUUAGGGGCAAAGAAAGGACUUGUUGACUCCCAUGGUCUAUGGCUGGUCUCCGAAGGUGCAAAAAAUUCGAUAAUAGGUGUGGAAUUUGAGUUAUCCACAAAGAUGGAAAAAUAAAAAGAUAAAAGUAUAAAAGUAUAAUACAAGAUAAUAGCAAGACUUAAAGUUAUCUCAGCAAACCGUCUUUCUCCCCGGCAACGGCGCCAGAAAUGCUUGUUGAUAUUUGGUAACGCAAUAAGAAAAUGAUCCGCAAGCGCACGGAUAUCGGUGAGCAUUUCACCCGGGAGGUUUUCCAGAGUAUCGUAUUUAUAUUUUUACCACUGGGAGAAAGGGUGCAUCUGACUAACCAAAUCUAUUGCUACUAUCCCUUUAGGCUACAAAGAAUGUUUCUCGAUGUGAGUGAUGUAUAGAGAAGACUGCAACCGUAGUCUCGUUCUAACCUUGGUAAGGAUGAUGUGCUGUUAUAUUGGGGAAGCUUACGGAAUCUAGACACCACAAAGGAUGUUCGACCCACACCUGUAAACCUACCCAUCCUGCUAACAACAUAUGGGAUACAAAGGUAACUCGGAAAUGUCACGUUCCUCGCUACUACCACGGUCCAGCUAGUCAGGGGAUAUCUAUGAGUACCCUAGCCUAAACACCACGUUUACGCUAGCAAUGAUUACUCUAAUACUCAACCGGAAGAGGAUUAAAGUAAACUCAUAAACCAAAGAACAAUAAAACAAGUACUUACUAGAAUUAGAAGUCGAAUUACUGAAGAAUCUUAGGAGCAAGCCUUGGGUUAGAAGACUUGAUCCCGCAGGUACAACUCGGAGUAGACACCGACAGGCCGGCCUUCCUCCGAUCUACACCUCCACUCUAUCUCUCUCAAUCUAGUAGAAACUAGAAGAUCUAUUUCUACUUACAUUGGUUGCUAAGCCUAAAAAGAAAUUUUAUUUAGAGAAGAGGUUUUCCUUCGAGGGCAUCCCUCAACUCUAUGAUAACUUCUUGUCUUCUCCAGGGGCCAGGGGGGGUCUCCUUAUAUAGUCCUCCUCCUCUAUGCGUUUUUGGGUCGGUAGGCGAUGUGGUACUACGUUAUCCUUGAUCCUUUAGGUCUGUGGAACAUCAUGUGUGAAGAGAGUCCCGAACGGAGUCCAGGACAGGGCGGGCGCCCAGGGAAAGAGGACGGGCGCCCAGGGCCUGGCCCCUUCCGACCUCUGCUUUCUUCCCGUGGCUUCUGGAGUCUUUUAGAUGGUAGAAAAUUGCGCGGUGCAUUGAUAUCUCUAUGUAAUCCUGACAUGUGGGCCUUUCUUUUGUAUUUCCUGAUAACCCCCUGCAGAAAUAGAAAAACACCAAAACUCGUGGAAUUCUGUCAGAUAAAACCCUAAGUCUGGGUGUUGGUUGCAUUUGGAUCCUUUUCUUUAUUUAUUUGAUGAUUAUAUUUGGUACUUAAGGACCGUCAACACAUGUAACCUAGGUCUCCCCUUGGGACUAUAAAAGGGGAGGCUCAGGAAAGGAUAGGGGACACAAGACAUACGUAGAAGAGCAACCAUACUCCAUCUCCAUCCAUCCACAUCUUACCAACUUGUAUUCACCCUUGUACAAGCACUUAGGUGAAAGAUAAUACAAACACUCCCCCCCCGUUGGACGUAGGGCCUUCUCUUGCCCGAACCAGGAUAAAUCUUUGUGUCUUUUCUUGCAUCACCAUCUGAAAAGGGGAGCAUGCACAAGUUUUACUCAUUGGUGUGACCCCCCGAGAGGAAAAUACCGACACUGGCCCAAGAGGAGAUGGCCCAACCAUUCUUUAAUCAUGAACACUUUGUUCAAGAAGAAGAAGAGUUGGUAGAACCCGUUGAGCUAGACAAAAAUGAACAACCUUCACCUCCUUUGACAGAGUUAAAACCUCUUCCUUCUGGCCUUAGAUAUGUCUUUUUGCACAAAAACCCAAAAACACAAGUAAUUAUCAGUGACAAGCUUUCCGAUUAUGAAACACAACAACUUGUCACUGUUCUUGAAAGGCAUAGAUCAGAAUUUGGCUACUCUCUCGAAGAUCUCAUGAGCAUUAGUCCCAUUCUCUGCACUCAUCGUAUCCCUAUUGAUCUCAAUUCUACACCUUCAAGGGAACCACAACGGAGACUUAACAAUGCUAUGUGAGAGGUUGUUAAAAAAGAAGUCCUCAAACUCUAUAAUGCUGGGAUUAUCUAUCCUGUGCCACAUAGUGAGUGGGUUAGCCCUGUCCAAGUAGGGCCAAAGAAAGGAGGAAUGACGGUCGUUAGGAAUGAGAAGAAUGAACUCAUCCCUCAACGAAUUGUCACUAGGUGGCGUGUGUAUUGACUAUCGAAAACUCAACAAGGCUACAAAGAAACAUCACUUUCCGUUACCCUUCAUUGAUGAAAUGUUGGAACGGCUUGCAAACCACUAUUUCUUCUAUUUCCUUGAUGGUUAUUCUGGAUAUCACCAAAUCCCAAUCCACCCAGAUGACCAAAAAAAGACUACCUUUACAUGCCCGUAUGGAACUUAUGCAUACCGACGAAUGUCGUUUGGAUUGUGCAAUGCUCCAGCUUCUUUCCAAAGGUGCAUGAUGUCUAUUUUCUUAGACAUGAUUGACAAAAUCAUAGAGGUUUUCAUGGAUGAUUUUACCUUCUAUGGCAAAACCUUCGAUCAUUGUUUGGAGAAUUUAGAUAGAGUCUUGUAGCGAUGUGCAGAAAAGCACUUAAUCCUAAACUGGGAGAAAUGCCAUUUUAUGGUUCAAGAAGGAAUAGUGCUAGGACAUAAAGUGUCUGAACAUGGUAUAGAGGUGGACAAAGCAAAGAUUGAAGUUAUUGAAAAACUUCCACCUCCCACGAAUGUGAAAGGAAUCCGUAGCUUUUUGGGACAUGCAGGGUUCUAUAAAUGCUUUAUCAAUAACUUCUCUCAAAUUGCUAGACCCCUGACUAGUCUCCUAGCUAAGGAUGCACCUUUCAUCUUUAGUGAUGAGUGUCAUGAAUCUUUUCAAACUCUUAAGAAAGCACUCAUCUCAGCCCCGAUUAUCUAACCAUCUGAUUGGAAUCUUCCUUUUGAGAUAAUGUGUGAUGCUAGCGAUUUUUCGGUUGGUGCUGUUUUAGGACAAACCAAGGAUAAAAAGCAUUAUGCCAUAUCCUACGCUAGCAAAACCUUGUCUAGACCACAGCUCAAUUACACUACAACUAAAAAAGAUCUUUUGGCUGCUGUCUUUGCUAUAGACAAGUUUAGAUCUUACUUAGUGGGGGCAGAGAUAAUCAUCUAUUCAGACCAUGCUGCUCUCAAGUACCUCCUCACUAAGAAAGAUGCUAAGCCUCAUCUAAUUCGAUGGAUUCUUCUACUCGAAGACUUUGACAUAGAAAUCUGAGACAGGAAGGGAGUAGAGGAUUCUGUAGCCGACCACUUGUCUUGGCUUCAAUAUAAGGAAACACAUGAUGAGCUUCCCAUAAAUGACUACCUAAGGGAUGACACCCUGCUUAAGAUAACACAUGCAGAUCCAUGGUACGCAGACAUCGUAAACUUUAUAGUAAAAGGUUAUGUCCCACCUGGUACAAACAAAAGGAAGUUGCUUCACGAUAGUCGUUUCCACCUUUGGGAUGAGCCAUAUCUUUUCCGAGUCUGCGCUGAUGGACUCUUGAGAAGGUGUGUUCCUAUGGCUGAGGCUACUCAAAUUAUGGAAAGAUGCCAUGCCUCACCAUUUGGAGGACACUAUGGAGCAUUCCGGACACAUGCUAAAAUUUGGCAAAGUGGCUUUUUGCUGGCCAACGAUGUAUGAAGAUACAAAGAACUUUGUUAGGAUAUGCCAUCGAUGUCAAAAACAUGGGAAUAUCAACUCACGAAAUGAAAUGCCUCUCACAAAUAAUCUUCAAGUAGAACUUUUCGAUGUAUGGGGCAUUGAUUUCAUGGGGCUAUUCCAUAUGUGUGGGGGUAUAAACCCCUAUACCCUUACGGCUAGACUUCAGCCAGGAAGCUUGGCCCACUAUGAGACGAGUUCAAGGCUUGAUCCGAUAGCUCGGAGUUUCGCGCAAGGAAACAAGACGUGGAGAUCAAGCAGGAUUCUAGUCGGUUAGAAUAGGAAUUGAUAUCGAAUUAUCUAUGGCAAUUGUAACCGACUAGGAUUAGUUUCUAGAUCUGUAACCCUGCCCUCCAGACUAUAUAAGGAGGGGCAAGGGACCCCCCUAGGACAUCAUAUUCUCUCAGCACAAAUCAAUACAACCAGACGCAGGACGUAGGUAUUACGCCAACUCGGCGGCCGAACCUGGAUAAAAAGCUUGUCCGUGUCUUGCGUCACCAUCGAGUUCGUAGUUCGCGCACCGUCUACCGAUAAACUACUACCGUGGGUAUACCCCAAGGUAGACUGCCGACUAGCUUUCGUCGACAGUGGCGCGCCAGGUAGGGGGUGUGCGUGCAACUUUUCCAGCGAACAAGAUGGUCACGAUCCCAGCUUCCGCGACCGUGCCCGAAGGCCUCACGUUCACCGUCGGCCAGAUCACAUGGACGACGUGCAGCGGCGGCUUCGCGACCACGGUUCCGAAAGAGAUCCAGAUCCAAUCUGAGAUCACGCCGUCUCCGACCACACGCAUAACGGCACCAAGCUCCCGACCACCGUUCCCACUCUACAAGGGAAAGGAGAUCGACUGCUCGGACCUCCUCCAAGCGCUCGAUCGCGCUGACUCCAAGCUACUCGAAGUCUCCCAACUAAUAGAUGGAGUUCUGCGCCGGCCCGACCAAGCUGCUCGAGCGGAUUUUUCGAAAUCCCACCGGCCAACUCGUGUCGCCACACACGAACGGCUGGGAACGUCCCUGACGAUAACCUCAACCUCCUCAGGACGAUCCGUCGAGCUCAAAAAGGAAGACUAUCCUUGCGGCCUGAACAACUCGGCCUCUGUUUACUCACAGCAUGUCCAAUUCGUUUUCAGCAAGGCGGGCUGGUCGCCGACAAGGAACAAUCGUCACCAUGUCAACAUGGUGACAAUCCGAGAGCUACGAGACGGCCAGGUUUCCAGCACCAACUCAAGCACCGGCUCCGUCCCCACUGAGGUUAUAAACACCGAAGACGAGGGCUACGACCUGGAUUUUCCUUCACACCCUCCGGGUUUCGACCGAUUCCCGAUAUUCCCCCCCGGCGAGGGGAUAUUGUGUUCAAUGUCAGCGCCGACGAACCGGCUGUUGACGGAGAAACAGACGACCAGAGGCAACUCCGCGAACAGCGUAACGCCGAUCGCGCCCGACGGCGUGCGGACGAGCAACAACAGAUGCCACCAAGUAACCUCAACGAUGCCUUUGACAUGGUCGGGGACCAGCCGGUCUACAAAACGCCAAGCGCCAACGUGGCUGUCGCCAUGGCCAACCUGGAUCGGCUUCCUGACACCCCCGAAUGCCAGGGAGUCCGGACCAGCAUCCGAGCACACCUGAUCGCCGCAAUGGGACAGACAGCCACUCUGCUCAAGAGAGUCCAGGACGUUUCUUAUACGGAAGCCGCCUCCGACCAGACUAAUCGUAGCCGGGCCUCACCCGGCAGGCGUCACCGCAGCCGCUCCCCCGACAACCAUCGAGGGGACUCACGGCGCGACGAUGGUGGUCGGGACGCCGAUGGCCGCCGCCAGCAGAACCGCGCACGCGGCCAAGAAGAAAAUCAACACAGGGAUCUCCGCCACAACAUCCCUCCCAAAGAUGCCCGGGACCGCAUCAACAGGCGCGCCGCAGAGAGGGCAGUCCACGAAAACCUGCGCCGCAUCGAGUACGAUGCAACUCACGGUCCUCCGGGCCUAAGGCAGUUCUCCUCACACCUCCGCCAGGUCGUGUGGCCCCGCAAUUUCAAACUCGAAAAACUUAAAAAAUACGACGGCAAGGAAAAUCCAGAGAACUGGAUCACUCUCUAUGAAAUCGCCGUCCGAUCAGCGGCAGGAGAUGAGCACGUCAUGGCUAACUACUUCCCCGUAGUCCUCGACCAGGCUGGUCAUCAGUGGCUUCUCGGCUUGACCGAGGACUCCUUCGACUCUUGGGAAGAGCUACGACAGGCUUUCAUCGACAACUUCAUCGCCACAUGCGAGCAGCCCGGAAACAAGUAUGACCUUGAAAGGAUAAGAGACAGGAAGAAUGAACCUCUGCGCGAUUACAUCCGACGAUUCUCGGAUAUGCGCCUCAAAAUCCCGAAGAUUUCUCAUGACGAGGCCAUAUCAGCCUUUAUCAAGGGCUUGCGUUUCCAUGAAGCGCUGAGGAACAAGCUGUUGCGUAAGCGCCCAUCAACGGUAGCAGAGCUCCUCGCCACGGCUAAAAAUUACGCUGAUGCUGAUGACGCAGAAAAACUAAUCCGAGACGAUGCGAGAGGCCCCGACCAGCCCUCCCGGCGAGAUGACGGUCGUGGUCGCUACGACAACAGAAAUCACCGCCGCUCCGACAACCGCGAUCACCGAGAGGGUUGGGAUCGGCGGCGCGACAGCCGCGACGACUUCAGAGGAAAGCGCCCUCGCGAAUACGACCACGACAAAACAUUGAAGGGAUCGUGCCAGCUACACCCAAAGUCUAACCAUACCAUGGAAGAGUGCCGCGUCCUCAAAAGUAUCUAUACACGGCGGGCCGCCCAAGAGGACACCUCCAAGAAAAAUAACAAGCGCGACGGGCACGACCACGAAGAUGAGGAUGAGGACCAAGACAGGGACCCCCGACACCAAUACGUCAGCCCCACCGACGUGGUCCACUCCAUUUUCGGGGGCAAGGUCUCCACUGAGUCCAAGCGAGAAAGAAAGCUGUUAAAGAGAGCCUGCCUCAACAUAGACAGCACGGACGGGCUGAUCGCAGAUCCGAAAUUUCCCGCGUGGUCCCACAGGGAGAUCUCGUUCAGCAGGAAGGACCAGUGGGCCGCUAUCCCAGAGCCGGGUCGUUUCCCACUGAUUCUUGAUCCCUGCAUCAAUAGCAUCAGAUUCGAGCGCGUGCUCGUGGACGGGGGAAGCUCCAUCGACAUCCUCUUCCGCAACAGCCUGCCCGCCCUCAAGAUAUCACCGGCGCAACUAAAACCUUACGACGCCCAAUUCUGGGGUGUUUUGCCAGGUCAAAGUUCGGUGCCCCUCGGACAGAUAACAUUGCCUGUCCAAUUCGGCACACCCGAUCACUUCUGGACGGAGUUCAUCAACUUCGUAGUCGCGGACUUCGACGGGACCUACCACGCCAUACUGGGCCGCCCAUCGCUGACAAAGUUCAUGGCAGUCCCGCACUACUCAUACCUAGUCCUUAAGAUGCCCACGGAGAAGGGUGUCCUAACCGUCAGAGGCAACAUCUACACUGCGUACACCUGCGAAGAAGAAAGCUUCAAGAUCACCGAGGCAAUUGACCUCUCAAUCCGCAUGGCGGAAACAGCAAACCAAGCCGCACAGCUGCCUCCCGACCAGCUCCGAUUACCUGAGCAGGAGACAGCCAGAAAGAAUUCGAAAUCCAAGGAGUACAAAGAAGUGCAGCUGGUCGAAGGCAACCCCGAGAAGACAGCCCUCAUCGGGGCUAACCUGGAUCCAAAAUAGGAAGACGCGCUCGUCAGGUUUCUAAGGGAUAACGUGAGCGUUUUCGCAUGGAAACCCGCAGACAUGCCCGGUGUCCCACGAAACCUGAUCGAGCACUCCUUAAAUGUCUCGAAGACCGCAAGACCAAUCAAGCAAAAACUGCGACGGUUCGCUCGUGACAAAAAGGAGGCUAUUAGGACAGAAAUAACACGGCUUCUAGCAGCCGGAUUCAUAAAAGAAGUGUAUCAUCCCGAUUGGCUCGCCAAUCCGGUUCUUGUACGCAAAAAGAAUAAUGAAUGGAGAAUGUGCGUUGAUUACACCGAUCUCAACAAACACUGUCCUAAAGAUCCUUUUGGUCUUCCUCGCAUCGACGAGGUGGUCGACUCAACGGCUGGAUGCGAACUCCUCUCCUUUCUAGAUUGCUACUCUGGUUAUCACCAGAUCUCGUUAAAGGAAGAAGAUCAGAUCAAAACAUCCUUCAUCACACCCUUCGGCGCAUACUGUUACACUACCAUGUCUUUCGGACUUAAAAACGCCGGGGCCACUUAUCAAAGGGCCAUCCAGCAAUGCCUCCACGACGAGAUUCGCGAUGACCUCGUCGAGGCCUAUGUGGACGACGUGGUCGUAAAAACAAGGGACGCGAGCACCCUAAUCGACAACUUAGACCGAACCUUUAAGGCACUCAAUAGGUACAAGUGGAAGCUCAACCCCAAGAAAUGCAUUUUCGGCGUUCCUUCCGGUCUACUGCUCGGCAACGUCGUCAGUCGCGACGGCAUACGACCAAACCCUUCCAAAGUCAAGGCCGUACUCGACAUGCGACCACCGAAGAACGUCAAGGAUAUUCAGAAGCUAACCGGAUGCAUGGCCGCCCUCAGUCGUUUCAUCUCAAGGCUGGGAGAAAAAGGCCUCCAUUUCUUCAAACUAUUGAAAGCGUCAGAAAAAUUCUCUUGGACAGAGGAAGCCGACGCUGCGUUCACUCAGCUUAAGACCUUCCUCACUUCACCGCCUGUCCUCACAGCGCCUCAGCCCAAUGAAGACCUACUCCUUUACAUUGCUGCAACCGACAGGGUUGUUUCCACGGCAAUAGUGGUCGAGCGAGAUGAACCAGGUCACGUCUUCAAGGUCCAGAGACCCGUUUACUUCAUAAGCGAAGUUUUAAACGAAUCCAAGGCUAGGUACCCACAAAUACAGAAGCUUAUAUACGCCAUCCUGAUAACGUCAAGAAAGCUGAAGCACUACUUCGACGGCCAUCGAGUCCUGGUGACAACCAGCUUUCCUCUCGGGGACAUCCUGCGCAAUAAAGACGCCAAUGGCAGAAUCGUGAAAUGGGCAAUGGAAUUAUGUCCAUUUUCCCUAGAGUUCCAGAGUCGCACCACUGUCAAGUCUCAAGCCCUGGUCGAUUUCAUUGCCGAAUGGACGGAUCUCAACGAGCCUUCCGUUCCAGAUGUCUCAGACCACUGGUCAAUGUUCUUUGAUGGGUCCUUGAACAUCAACGGUGCAGGCGCUGGGAUAUUGUUCGUAUCACCCAACAAGGACAAACUCCGUUACGUCCUUCGGAUCCUUUUUCCGGCGUCAAACAACGUCGCCGAAUACGAAGCAUGCUUACAUGGCAUACGACUAGCCGUUGAACUGGGGGUCAAGCGCCUCUAUGUCUACGGCGACUCCGCUUUGGUCAUCAACCAGCUCAACAAGGAGUGGGACGCAACCCACGAGAAGAUGGAUCUCUACUGAAAAGAAAUUCGCAAAUGGGAAACUAACUUCUAUGGCAUAGAGUACAUCCACGUGGUCCGGGAUAAGAACCAAGCAGCAGAUGCGUUGUCAAAGUUAGGCUCCUCUCGGGCCCAAAUCCCGCGGGGUAUUUUCGUCCAGGACAUCCAUGAGCCGAGCGUAGGCUCCCCCCUGGUCGACAAGCAACCCACCGAGGCAAUGCUCAUAGAUGAUGCCACUCCGACAACCGGUGGGCGUGACUGGCGUACCCCGUUCAUCAAAUACAUAUCAGACGGGACAGGCUUUCAGGACAAAACAGAGAACGAGCGCCUUAUCCGACGAUCAAAGAACUACAUCCUGGUCGACGGAAAACUCAUGCGGAAAAACGCAAGCUCCGAAGUACUGCUCAAGUGCAUACCCCAAGAUGAUGGUAUCAAGCUCUUGGAGGACAUACACGCUGGAUCCUGCGGCAAUCACGCCGCAUCUGGAACGCUGGUCGGAAAGGCUUUCCGAGCAGGUUUUUAUUGGCCAACCGCGGUCGGCGACGCAGAAAAACUGGUUCGGCAUUGCGAAGGAUGUCAGUUUUUCGCUAAGAGGACCCACGUACCUGCCCACGAAAUUCAAACCAUCCCGUCGUCUUGGCCCUUUGCUUGCUGGGGGCUUGACAUGAUCGGACCAUUUAAACCAGCCCCGGGCAAUUUCAAGUUUGUCUUCGUGUUAAUCGACAAGUUCUCCAAGUGGAUUGAAUACAUGCCCCUGGUCAAGGCAACCUCCGAGAAGGCUGUGGAGUUCCUCAAUCAAAUCAUACACAGAUUCGGCAUCCCGAACAGCAUAAUCACAGACCUGGGCACUCAGUUUACUGGCACCACUUUUUGGGAUUUCUGCGAUGACAGAGGCAUAGUCGUAAAAUAUGUGUCAGUAGCACAUCCACGUGCCAACGGUCAAGUUGAACGUGCUAACGGAAUGAUCGUUGACGCCCUAAAGAAAAGGUUGUACACCGAAAACGACAGAGCACCCGGUCGAUGGAUGAAAGAAUUGCCGGCAGUGGUCUGGGGCCUCCGAACCCAGACCAGUCGAAACACAGGGGUGUCUCCCUACUUCAUGGUGUACGGUGCAGAGGCGGUCCUGCCGUCUGACAUACACUUCGGAUCUCCUAGAAUCGAGCACUUCGACCAGGCGACCGCUGACAACGCCAGAGAACUCGAAAUCAAUUGCAUGGAGGAAAAGCGUUUAGUUUCGUGUCUCCGAACAGCAAAAUAUCUCGCAGCAGUCAGGCCAUACUACAACAGGAAUGUCAAGGACCGUUCCUUCGUGGUCGGCGAUCUGGUGCUUCGAUGGAAAACAAGCCAGGAGGGAAUGCACAAGCUAUCCACCCCCUGGGAAGGACCCUUCGUGGUGACCGAGGUCACACGACCUACGUCCUACAGAUUGGCAUACCCAGACGGAACACGAGUGCCUAACUCUUGGCACAUCGACAAACUGUGACGUUUCUAUCCAUAAAGUUUUAAUGACUUUCUUUUGUAAGUAUCUUAUAAUUUUUGAUAACGAAAUUCUCUAUUUUUUGCCCAUACCUUGUCACACACAGCACUCGGCAAAACUCCUGCAAUGGAUGCCCUUAGCGACAACCAAGACAAAUACGGUGACACGUCACUCAGAUAUUCUUACAGCGCUCAAAACAACAGUCAUGACAAAAAGCAAACUUUAUUACAAACUUUACAUACAAAGUUUACAAUAAACACCCUGACGGGCAGACACUAGUCUAUUCCUACAGACUACUUUAUUGGCCUAGCUGCUCGGGCUGAUCACCCGCCUGGCCCUGCUGCCCGGACGAAGGGGUCGGGGCCACCGGCGCCUGGCUGGUCGAGACCGCAGGCGUCGACCGCCCAUCUCCCGCCACGGACGCGCCCGACAACUCCCUGGCCGACCUAUCUGAACUCGGCUGGUCUGGAGGAGUGGCCGUUCCACACAGAUUGAUGUCGCCGAUCACUGUCGACGACAAGUCCAGCAGACUACCCCGAAGUUCGUCCGCUUCCUGUGGGCCGACUUCCUUCGGGUACCCCUUCUCCAGCCUGCUCAAGUCGACCAGGGGCUAGUGGGCGCGCACCAUGCUGAGGACGUGCGCGCCGGCAAACUCCCCGGCAUCCUUCACAAACUGCUGGAGCCAGUCCCACGCCCGUUGCGCCUUCUCAACCGGGGUCAACUGCGGCGCGCGGGGCUGGCUCUCCGGGAGCUUGGGACUGAUCAGGUCUAGGAUCGGGGACACUCCUUUCCAGAUCCUGCAACAGUUGACCUUCCAGGAGUCCCGGUCCUUGAUCAGAUCAUCCAGGUGCUUUUUGGUGUUCACCUUGAGCACUACAAACGAAACGAAGCGUUAUUUUCGGCAUACUAAACAAACAAAGGGGCAGGCAGCAACCAACAAGGCGACACCCAUUACCUGAUAGCUCCCGGUCUUUUCGACCCAAUUCCUCUUCUGCUCGCCGCCCGGACUCCUGCGCACCGGCGAGCUGUUGGCUGAGCUGCUCCUUCUCUUGUCGGAGGCUCGCCACCUCCUCCUCCAAGUCUGCGUGAAUCCUAAACUGGUCAGCAAAGCACACUAUACAAGUACGCGAAGCUGCUCGGAGCGUGUGACUAACCUUCUUGCAGCCGGUACUGGUCGGCCAAACGACGAGCGAGGUCGAGACGACGCUCCUUUUCGGCACUCAUCUCGACCACCUUCUCCCCGACCUCCGCCCGCAACCGGUCUACCUCCGCGGCAAGGGCCUUGUUCUCGGCCAUGACGCCUUCUAUCUGGUCAAAGCACCGUUUCCGGUACUUCGCCGUUUUCAUUACGUCCUACAAAGCAAGCAUAUAACGACCAUGCAAGACAAGGCAAAAGAAUGCGCAGCAGUACAAAAAGCCGCUUACCUUGACUUCGUCGACAAGGCGCUUGGCCGCGCGCUCCACCCUGGCGGCCUCUUCGGUCUCGGCGAGCUCCUCAUGACCGAUAAAGUGAUCCCCGCGUUGGCGCCACACAUACACGUGUUGGCGGCCAUCACGGGGACGACCCUCGAUCUCUUCCACCUCGUCCUCGGAGGCCGCCCGGGUUUCCUCCUCCUGUGCUGCUUCACCCCCGGUGGUGGCCCCAGGUAUUACUGGCCCUUGGACCAGACCUGGGGAGCCCGCAGCCGAAGAGGCUCCUGCUCGGGGCGGCGGGGGGACUUCACUCCCCCCGGCAGGAGGAGCGGUCGGAGAUCUUCCCUUCUCUGAGGAGUCAGUUGGGGGAGCCUCUCCAGCCCUGGUCGGGCUGCUUGUUGUAGUCGGCGCCGCGCUCGGGAGCCCCUCGGUGCUCCCAGGCGCGACUGCAGCUGUUGGCUGCUCUGUGGUCUGGGGGGCCGCAUCCCCAGAACCGCGGGCAGGCUCGCCCGUUCCCUGGCUGGCAGUUUGGCCAGGGUCGACAUCCGAUGCCGUACUACAGGAACAAAAGUAAAAAAAAAGGAGGAGUCCAAAAAUACGUAAGUCGAACACUUACAGGUCUGACCGACGGUGGGUCGCGGUGAACCUCCUCCUCGCCCGGCCAGUCGGCACCUGUGCCCCCAUCUCGACAGCUUGCGGGGCAGCGGCGCCGCUGGCCACUCGAUCACUGGCGACCGGCGCAGUGUCUGGGCGGCUCCGAGGCCGUCGGACCAACGACGGCGCAGCCUCCUCCUCGUCGUCGUCGUCGACGAUCCGCACGAGCCGACGACGCUUCGGUGCUUGGCUGCUCUCCGCCGGUAGAUCUGCCGGCAGCUCCGGUGUCGGCAAGGGAUCUGCCGGCAAUGGCCUUUUCCCCGCUACCCUCUCUUCGGAGGUCGGGACGGGGCGGGCUUGGUCUUCCUCACUGCUGGUGUAAUGAGUACACCGAGCAGCGUCCUCCUCUGGCGGGACCUCUCCCGCAGGAUUUUCCAUCCCCGGUGCCAGUGAUACAUACACUGUGCACCGGUCGACAUCGCCGACCUGCAAAAGCAACAGAGAUGAGUCAACUGCAGACGAUAUACGAAUGAUCAAACAGAAUCUGCUACAUACCUUUGGUGCUGGUCGUCCUAACUUGAAGGCUUGCACCCGAUCACUGCCACGGAUGAAGCCCCCAUCCGCGAAGUUAAACAGCUCGUUCAACAGCUGUUGUACCUCCGCUUUCUCCAAGAUCUCCGACCGCAUCCUGGUCGGGUCUGCGCUUCCGGCAUACUCGUACGCCGAGUGCACCCUCUUCUGGCAGGGCAUCACCCGGCGGCAAAUGAAGUUGCCGACCACACCAAGCCCGUCUAGGCGCGACCAGUCGAUCAGCUUCAUGAGAUCCGCCACUGGACCGUCGAACUCCGGGCGGUCGGUCCAGCUCGUCCUCUUCUCAGGAAUGUAUCCCACGUCGCAGAAUGUGGAGCUGCCCGGUUCCUCCUUGAUGUAGAACCACUUCCUGUACCAUUCGGUCAAGGAAGUGUUCCAUGGGCAGUGCAGGUAGCGAUUCUUCAUCCCAUCACGAAGGUUGAGGUAUACUCCACCUGCAACCUUGGAGCCUCCAACUGCUCCCUUCUUCCUCAAGCAGAAAAGAUUCCGGAAAAGAUCGAAGUGCGGCUCUAUGCCAACAUAGGCCUCGCACAGGUGGAUGAAGGUGGAAAUAAGGAGAAUUGAGUUCGGGUGCAGAUUGCAAAUCCCGAUCUCAUAGUACAAAAGAAGACCUUGAAGAAAAGGAUGAACAGGAACACCAAAGCCUCUCUUAACGAAAUCUUCAAAAACGACGAUCUCACCGGCGCGAGGGUCGGGGUAGCUCUCCCCCUCCGGUGCCCUCCAGCCGCCGAGCUCUGCGCCGUGCAGAAGCCCCAUAUCGACGAGGUCACCAAGAGAUUUUGUGGUGCUGCGAGACUUCUUCCACUCCUUGGCCAUCAGUUCGGCCCUCUUCCUGGAGUCGCUCUUCGCCAUUAGAGGUGCGAAUGUGGGCUGGAGUUAGGAAGAUGCAGGAGAUUGGAGAAGAUGAGAGCGGAAGGUUUGAAGGCAAUGGCAGGCGAAGCGGUACAGGCGGUCCUAUUAGGCCCUUAUAAACCCGCGACCCCACCUCUCCCACUUCCUGUAUUCUCGAGAAGUGGGCAGGCCAUGCGGCGGACGCGGCGUUUCGGUUUACAAUGAUUAUAGACAAUUAAUGCGGCGGAGUUUUCGUACCAAUUAAUGGUUUCCUUUUCUCAAACCAUGCAAAGAGCGGUUGUACAGUUGCCAGGUGCAGCUUUUCAUGCAUCCGUCUGACAUAUCGUCAGGAGACCCCGUCACGUCAACUUUAACUGGAAAGAUCUUUUCAAAAGUAAGAAGACACAUACGCCAGUGAGUCAAGAAUCCGGGGACUGCACCGACCACCGAGCACUCGACGCUCGGGGACUGGUCGCCCAGUCUAUCAGCUCGGAACUUCAAGGACUGCACCGACCACCGAGCACUCGACGCUCGGGGACUGGUCGCCCAGUCUAUCAGCUCGGAACUUCAAGGACUGCACCGACCACCGAGCACUCGACGCUCGGGGACUGGUCGCCUAGUCUAUCAGCACGGAACUUCAAGGACUGCACCGACCACCGAGCACUCGACGCUCGGGGACUGGUCGCUCAGUCUAUCAGCUCAAAGCUUUAAAGCAUGCACCGACCACUGAGCACUCGACGCUCGGGGACUGGUCGUACAGUAUAGCAACAUAUAAUUCCAAGAAGCACACUAAGUGCUUGGGGACUGGUCGAUUGGUCUUUUCAAUUGCAGACGAGCAUGACAUGCUCGGGGACUAGUAAAUUCAAUUUUUUAGACCUUGCUACAAGGCUCAUACUUCGCCUUCCAGCAAGCUCGGGGACUACAUCGGUACGAUGCAUCUAGCGAUGCAUCUCAGUCUCAAAACUACUUUGGGGAAUUUUCUUUUGACCCUGGCACCACGUGCCUAUGUUACCUACUACCAGGCUCGGGGACUAAGUGGGCACACUUCACCUAGCGGUGAAUUUGCUUGCUUUUUUCAUGCUUCUACCUUUCAAAAAGGUAAAGUGGGCACACUUCACCAGGAAAGAAAUUUUUUUAGAGCACCAUGCAUUCUUCGAACAACCUGUUUCUUCGAUGUCAAUGUUGAUCAACUGUCUUUCGAGUUGGUCAAGGAACCGUUGCAACUGUUUGGGCGAUUUUCCCACUUAUUGAAGACGACAAGCCUCGCUGAUCGAAGGAGCUCAAGACGGCGUGUUGCAUCACAAUACAUGGUGCUCGGGGACUAGCUGUGGGGGUAUAAACCCCUAUACCCUUACGGCUAGACUUCAGCCAGGAAGCUUGGCCCACUACGAGACGAGUUCAAGGCUUGAUCCGACAGCUCGGAGUUUCGCGCAAGGAAACAAGACGUGGAGAUCAAGCAGGAUUCUAGUCGGUUAGAAUAGGAAUUGAUAUCGAAUUAUCUAUGGCAAUUGUAACCGACUAGGAUUAGUUUCUAGAUCUGUAACCCUGCCCUCCAGACUAUAUAAGGAGGGGCAAGGGACCCCCCUAGGACAUCAUAUUCUCUCAGCACAAAUCAAUACAACCAGACGCAGGACGUAGGUAUUAUGCCAACUCGGCGGCCGAACCUGGAUAAAAAGCUUGUCCGUGUCUUGCGUCACCAUCGAGUUCGUAGUUCGCGCACCGUCUACCGAUAAACUACUACCGUGGGUAUACCCCAAGGUAGACUGCCGACUAGCUUUCGUUGACAAUAUGUCUGGGAAUUGCGAGUAUAUCUUAGUAGCUGUUGACUAUGUGUCCAAAUGGGUAGAAGCCCUACCUUGUCGAUCAGCUGAUUCAAAACAUGCCAAGAGAAUGUUCCGUGAAGUAAUCUUUCCUCGCUUUGGUGUACCCCAGUUAGUUAUAAGCGAUGGAGAUUCCCACUUCAUCGACAAAAUCUUCUCAAAGUACCUAGCCGAUCAUGGAGUUCGACACAACGUCGCAACACCAUACCAUCCUCAGACUAGCGGUCAAGCCAAAACAUCUAACAAACAAAUCAAAAAUAUUUUACAAAAGACCGUAGAUGAGAUGGGUAAGGGGUGGAAGGACAAACUUCCUGAUGCACUUUGGGCAUAUAGAACUGCAUUCAAAACACCCAUAGGCAUGUCACCAUAUCAACUUGUAUAUGGAAAAACUUGUCAUUUGCCUGUGGAAGUAGAGUUUAAGGCUCAUUGGGCACUCAAGAAAUGGAACUUGGAUCUCCACCUCGCUAGCGAGAAUCGUCUGAUGCAACUAUCUGAGCUAGAAGAAUGGAGAGAGAAAGCCUACCACAAUCCAAGGAUCUAUAAAGAGAGAACAAAAUGAUGGCAUGAUAAGAGAAUCAAGCACAAGGAGUUUACGCCUGGAGAUAAGGUUCUACUAUUCAAUUCAAGAGUUAAACUCUUUGGGCAUGGUAAGCUAUGAAGUAAGUGGGAUGGACCAUAUAAGGUUAUUGACACUUCAACUCAUGGAGCCAUUACCAUCCAAGACGACAUAGGUAACACUUUUAAGGUAAAUGGUCAACGCUUGAAAAUCUAUCUCGAGCCACAAAACAAUCUGGUAGAGGAACUUGAUGUGAUUGAGUUCAUAGAAUUCUCACAUUAAGCUCUCAUAAGCUCUAGACAAUUACCUAACCCUUAAUAUGCUCCACGAGUUUUGUUGUCUAUCUGGGUUGUGCAGGAUUUUGAGGCUUAAGAAGAGUGAGACCGAACAUGCAGGCCACAAGAGUGAACGACUAUCACUACUACAAAAAAAAAUUUAGGAGACAUUUUGUUUUGGGCCACCGAGGCGGCCGGCUGGCGGCCCGCCUCGGUUAACCUGGGCUGGGCUGCCAGUCGGGCGACCGUUACGGAUAAUUCUUUAACCGUGGCGGUCACUGUAAGCAAACCGCCACGGUUAAUCGUACGUUAACCGUGACGGUUGUCGUAAGUAAACCGCCUCGGUUAAUGCAUUAACCAUGGUGGUUGCUUUAGGGAAACCGCCUCGUUUAAUCUUUUAACCAUGGCGGGCCGCUUAAGGGAACCGUCAUGUUUAAUGCGUUAACCGUGGCGGCCUCUUUACAGCGACCGCCACGAUUAACUGUUCAUUAACCGUGGUGGUUUCUUUAAAUUGCCUGCCACAGUUAAGUCUCUGCCUAUAAAAGCAACAGCUCGACCCCUUCUUCUUCCCCGUGGCUCCUUCUUCAUUUAUUAGAGUUUUGACCUCAAAACCCUAAUAUUUAAUAUCUUAGAGGGGAAAACUUUUUGCCCUUUUAUUUGGUGAAGGGGGCCAUUGCAAGAGGUGGAUUUCUUACUCUCUAACUCUCAUUUCUCCCUUUGCAUUAUUUAGGUGGUUUGCUAGAUCUUGAUCUAGAUCCAAAUGUUUUAGAUCUAGAUCCAACUGGAGGAGAGAAAUAAAACCAGAUUUAGGGCUACUCACAUGUUUUCAUAUAUCUUUAUUUGUUUUUCUCCCUUUGUGUGUGCUAGGUGGUCGCAGCUAUGGAUAGGGAAGAGUGGAUGUAUAAGAUACCGAGGGUCAGUAACGAUUUAGCUUUUCUAGGACAUGUGAGAAAGUUUGUUGCCACUGCGAAAAAGCACCGUGUGUCUUUGGGUCGAGAGCGCAUCAUUUGUCCGUGCAAUAGUUGUAAGAACAACCUUGUACUGGAAGAUAACGUGGUGCAGUCUCACUUGAUCCGGCAUGGCUUUGUCAAGGACUACACCAUCUGGAAGUAUAACGGUGAAGAAGCAGAUCCAAGUGUGACAGGUGCAUCUGGCGGAGGUAACUCGUCAACGGUGAAUGAUGGGGGACGACAACCAUCUGCAUCGGCGGGCCUCCAUGAUCUGUUUGAAGAUGGUGGCUGUGAUGAUGAUGAGCAGGGUGAUGUUGUCUUGGGUCCCGAAGAUGUGGAGAUUUUUUAAAUGUUGCUAACCGUAUGGAUCAAGAUGACGUUCUGUUUGGAAAUCCAAAGUGGUUGGAGAAUUUCAAAGAGAUGAAGCAGGCAGCAAUUGAUCCCCUGUAUGAGGGUUGUCCAAAGCAUUUGAGGGUGUUGUGUUUUAACCUCCAGAUGCUCAUGCUGAAGGCUCGCCAUGGGUGGUCCGACACAAGCUUUAAUGACCUCUUAGAGAGGCUUGCUGACUCAUACCCAGAGGGUAACAAGGUGCCUGCCAAUACAUACCGAGCGAAGAAGAUGAUCCGUCCAGUGGCGAUGACGCUUAAAAAGUUUCAUGCAUGCCCUAACCACUGUAUUUUAUAUCGGGGUAAGUAUGAGAACUUGCAGAGCUGUCCGCACUGCGGCGCGAGCCGAUAUUAGAGGAAUGUCAGUUGUCGUGCAGACGCGGAUGUUGUGGGACCAACAAAGAGAGGGAACAAGAAAGCGAAGAUCCAGACGGCCAAGAAGCAGAUCCCAUCUCCCGAGGAUGAGGAAGAAGGGUGUUACAUGCAGAGGAAAAGCCCUGCACUCUCAGUGUGGUACCUACCAGUGAUCGAUCGCCUACGUGCGCUAUUCGGGAACCUAGAGGAUGCCCAACUGAUGUCAUGGCAUGCAUCAGCAGAACGAAUGAAGGAUGAUGGCAUGUUGCGACACCCCUCUGAUGGCAAGCAGUGGAAGCGGUUUGACGCCAAGUUUCCGAAAGAGUUCGGUGAUGAGGCGAGGAAUGUCAGGUUCGCACUAAGUACCGAUGGGAUGAAUCCGUUUGGUAACCUCGGUAGCUCCCACUGCACAUGGCCAGUCAUCCUAACCAUCUACAACCUACCUCCAUAUCUAUGUCAGAAGCGCAAGUAUCUUUUACUAACCAUGAUUAUUUCUGGACCAUGACAGCCAGGCAAUGAUAUAGAUGUGUUCCUGGAGCCGCUCAUGAAGGACAUGAAGAUACUAUGGGAAAAAUGGGUCAAUAUGAUGGAUGCAUCACGAAAGGAGUACUUCACUCUUAAAGACAUCAUCUUUUUCACCAUCACCGAUUAUCCUGGCCUUUUUUCACUAUCGGGGUAGAUCAAAGGUAAGUCAGGUUGUGUAGUCUGCAUUGACGGUACAUGCUAUACUUACCUUAGUGCAUCAAAAAAGUUGGUGUACAUGAGGCACAGGCGAUUCCUUGACAAAAAGCAUAGGUACCGACACCCUUCAAUGAAUUAAUUUUUUGUUAACUUGGCGGAACCACAAACUAUUGAGCUCAAGAAGACGGGUUAUGGGCAAAAGGUUUCUGACAUUGUCAAGGGCAUAAACUUUGAGUUUGGGAAGAAGAAAGUUGAGCAAGGUGAGACCAUAACAACGAUGAAGAGGAAGCGGGGUACGAUGGAGGAAGAAGAAAAGCCUACCCCUACUGUUCCUUUUAAAAAGCAGUCGUGUUUCUUCAAGUACCUGUCGUACUGGAAGGAGCUAGAUACACCUCAUGCCAUCGACUGCAUGCACCUAGAGAAGAAUGUGUUUGAGAGCACGAUCGGGGUCCUGCUAGACAUCAAGACUAAGACAAAGGAUGGUCUGAAGUCACGUCUGGAUCUUGUGAACCAGGACAUUAGGACCGAAAUUCAUCCAACACCGGCCGCACAAAGCGGGAAAGUGGACCUUCUGGGUGCGAGCUACAACCUCACGAUAGAUGAGAAGCGGGACACUUGCCUGUGGCUUAGAGGUGUCAAGGUGCCAACUGGUUUCUAUUCCAACAUCAAGAGCCUAGUCUCAAUGAAGGACCUCACACUCACCAGCUUCAAUGCACAUGACUGUCAUGUCAUGCUCACAGUUUUCCUCCCAAUUGUGAUCAAGGCUAUCGAACCAGAGUACGUGAAGAUGGUAAUCACACGCCUAGGUUACUUCUUCAACUUUAUCACACAAAAGGUCAUCAAUGAAGCUGAGUUGCCAGCACUAAAACAGUUCAUUGGAGAGACACUUUGCCAACUCGAGAUGUGCUUCCCGCCAUCUUUCUUUGAUAUUUUGCCUCACUUAAUGAUGCACAUGGUUGAUCAGAUAUAGGAACUUGGGCCCGUCUACCUGCUCGAGAUGUGGACGUAUGAGAGGUCCAUGUCGACCCUGAAUAGAUAUGUCCAUAACCGUGCUUACCCGAAUGGCUCUAUGAUUGAGGCAUACACAACAAAGGAGGCCAUUAACUACUGCAUGAAAUACAUCCGGGAUGGAAUUGCAAUUGGGCUGCCCGUCCCUGUGCAUGAAGGCAGAACCAUGGGUAUGGGGUGCAUGGGGAGGAAAGUACGCACGGAUGUAUAAGAAGAACAGUUGCAAGAGACUCAUCACAACACCCUUAAUUAGUUAGUGGCCAUGGACACUUGGGUUGAGAUGCACCUAGAGGAGAUUCGCCAUGGUUGUAACGGACGCACAGAGGCAUGGGUACAGAGACAGCACAAGAUGAAUUUCACAACGUGGAACCAACAGCAGGGCAUACCUCCCUAUGGUGAAACUGAUGAAGCGAGGCUUGCAUCCGGUCCAUCCUCCAAGAUAAACCUCAUGGCAUGGAUACGAUAUCAAUACAGGUUUCACACAAAACAGAAGGACGGGAAGAGCGCAGCACAGAAUAGCUGUGUUCGAUAUGAGGGCAUCGACGAGGCCACAGGGGAGACCAAGACAUACUAUGGGCAGAUUGAAGAGAUAAGGGAACUUGACUAUGGUGGUGAACUACAGAUACCAAUCUUUCUGUGCCAAUGGGUCAAGCCAAAGGCAAUUGUCGUGGACGAGUAUGGGCUAACCACUGUGGAGCUCUAAAGUGUCGGCUCUAAAGAUGAUCAGUGGGUACUAGCAAACCGUGUCGUGCAGGUAGCCUACUAUGCAAAGCCCAAAGACCCGAAGAGGCAUGUGGUUGUGUUUGGAAAGCAGAGGAUCGUGGGAGCAGAUGGAGUCUAGAGUCCCGAAGAACACAACCACUACACAGAGUUCGCGCUCUUUGCCGACCAUUCGCGCAAGAUCAAGCAAGUCGAGAACCGUUUAACCAAGAGUGGCAUGAAGCCUUGGUUCCGCUCCGACGGUCAAAAGAAGUGUGUUAUAGGAUCACUCCUAAAAUGAGAUGUAUGCCAAAUGUAAUCGUACUAGUACUACUUUAUUUGUAAUAAUGUACAAACUUAUCGAUUAGCAAUAACUGUUUGUGUUACUAAUUUUUAUGUAAUGGAAUCAAAUGUAAUCGUACUACAACUACUACUACCACCACUCCCUAAACUUCUAGUACUACUCAUGUUACAAACCAUUAGCAAUUUAAAAUCUAUUUAAAAAUGUGUUAAAACACUCCAUUUUAUAAUUUAACAAAAUAUGGCAAACUUAACUAUGGCGGGCAUCAUAAAGGAACCGCCAUGGUUAAUGUAGCAUUAACCGUGGCAGUCGCCCUAACACGCCCGCCACAGUUAAGUUUAACCGUGGCGGUCAGCCUUAGUCAACCGCCUCGGUUAAUUGUAACCUAUAAGUACCCCUCCCCUCCCCCCGUUCUUUCCAAGUCCUUCGCACGGUUCAUUUCGACCCCGAAGGGCUACCAAAUUUCCUCAGCCGCCACCGUCCAUCUUCCUCACCUCCGGCGCACUCCAUCUUCCUCACCUCCGAUGCACGUGGAGGAGAGCCCCACCCCCGACUGUGCCACGGUGAACCCUAGUGCUGCCAUCGAGAUCUACAGCGCUGAACCCUAGCACUGCUGUGCCUUUCUUCCUCGACUCCGUCGCUUUCUUCCUCGACUCCGUCGUGGGCUGAGGAUAGCCCGUGCCCUGCCUCUCCAUCCCUCGGCCGCUCCAUCCCUCCCCGUGCCCUACCGCUCCAGGAGACCGACCCACGCUCCAAGGAGAUCCAAGGAGAGCGCUGCCGCCGUUAUCUUUAGCGGCUUCUCCCCUAGCUUCAACUUCCUCGGCUCUAAGAUUCCCAGGUUGUGACAAUUUUGCUCCAGUUGCAAGUUUCCUGUUAUGCUGCUUGUACACAUUUUGUUUCCUGUUAUGGGUAUGCUGCCUAUGAUGCAACCGAAGCUUAAUUUGUUAAUUUUUAAUAAGCAGAUGCCACUGCUAAUGAUGCCAUUGAUUUGAUAUUACACUGAUCAUAUGCCAUUGGUUGGUUGACUGAGCAUAUGGAAAUGUCAAUUUCAUAAUUUAUACUAAGCAUAUGCCGUUGAUUGGUUAACUGAGUAUAUGCCAUUAACUGGUUUACUAAGCAUAUGCAACUGUCAAUUUGAUGAUUUAUACUAACAAUAUGCCAUUAUUGGUUAACUUCCUCUUAAUACUGCUCCUACUCUCUCCUACUGGAUUUACUAGCCGUACCGUUAUCACACUGGAUUUACUCUGCUACAACUUUACUACUCUACUACUACUACUACCAAUGGGGCACCUCGCCUCGGUUUAGUUGGAUGUACUAUGCUUUCAUCAAUUUUGAGCUUAUUUUGUGGCAUGUGCAAUGAUGAACUAUUCAAAAAUUUAAAAAUGUGCUGAGGCAGUGGCAUAUGCAAUGAUGUGAUACUUUUAUGUUGAGGCAGCGGCUAUGAUGAUGAAAUUGCCCCCCUACUUGUGAGCUGCUAAACUAGGAUGGCUUGUAUACCAAAUACAAGCAACCAGUUUAGAAGCGAUGUGAUUAUAGGGGCAAAUCUGAGCCAAAUAUGUAAAUGAUUUUUUUUCUGUUCUACAUUUCUGUAUUUUUCUUAUACUCUUUUGUAAUUUUCUUAAACUCUUUUGUAAUUUCCUUAAACACUUUUGUAAUUUUCUUAAUGUGUACCAUACUAGCAUGAAGAAUGAUGUAAUCUUGUUUUCAGAUGAAUAUAUAUAAGUCAUGAUUGCAUUAUAUAUGUUUUUAGAUGUGUACAUAAUAUCAUCUUCAUAUAAUUGCGAAAUGUCCGUAUAACUAUAUCUUCGUCAUAGCUUCCAAUGUCGGUCGAGCGUGCUGGAGAAUGGCGUGAGCCAAGCCCGGCAUCGAAUUAUAAGGAAGGCUCAUUGUCAUCAGAUGACAGCACCUCGUACGAGGAGGAGGUGCUAACACCAAGGCCAGAGAAGAAAGGUAGAACGGAGGAAGAACAGGAUCCGACCUAUGCGCUAGAAAAGACGGGGCCUUCAUCACGGAAUUCACGCACCACAGCAUAGAGUGAAGAGGGCCGCAUAAGUAAUCAAGUAAUACAAUGUCAGGGGAUCUUGUUUAAAGAAGGAAACUAAUGUGCGUUCUUCUCCUAUCCAGCUACCAGUGGUUCCUAUGGCUUUGGAGUUCUCUAGGGAAGAAAAGGCAGCAGAGGAGGGGCAUGCCUCCGUUCCCACCCCGAGCACUUCAACCAACACCGCCAGUGACAAGAUGUCUGGCCUAAAAAGGGGCCAACACGGGCGACACAAGGUGAGCAAGAAGGUGCAUGUCAUAACCAAGAUAGGGCCACAUGGAGAGCCCUUGGAGCCACUUACUGUGAUCGGUGUCUUCAGCAACCAAUGCUCUUGUCUAGUCAAAGAGCAUGUGCCGAUCACUUGUAUGGAUUGGAGAAAAGUCCCGGAGGACCUCAAGGAUAAAGUGUGGAGCCAUGUGAAGAAGCGGUUCGAAUAUCCACGGGACCAAUUCAAUGAAGAUCUUUGCAAGGGGCAUGCUAUGGUUAUUGCGGGCAAAGCACUUCGCAGCUUGAGGUCAAAACUCAAUAAGAACUAUGUGCAUAAAGGGAAGACACCUUUUGAGGACUACUACUUCAUCAAGCAUCAUGUUUGGGAGGAGUUUGUUGAAAAAAUGAGUACCAAAGAAGCAAAGGCCAAGAGUGAGAAGUUCACUGACCUUGCAAAGCGGAAUACGCUCCACCACCACGUGGGCAUGACAGGGUACGCCGCUAAGAUGCCGAAGUGGCGACAAGAGGAAAGGGAGGCAGCUGAGGCCGGGCAGGAUAAUCCGUUCGAAGGAGUUGACAAGCGAGCAUGUGACUUCUUCUAUGCCCAUCGGCCGAAGAAGCUAAAGGAAGGAAGGAACAAGUACAAUGAGCCACAGACCGAGGAGGCAGAGAAGGCAUUGCUCGCGAUCAAGGUGGCCAAGGAACGAGGGGAGUUCCAACCUCGCAGGGAUCAUGACAAACUGACCGAGGCGCUGGGAAACCCCGAGCACCGUGGCCGCGUUGGGGGAGUAUCCUCGAGGCAGAGCUGGAAGAAUGUAGAAUCAUGGCAGUUCGACGCUGCCUCUUACCACACUAGGCAGAGAUACAAGGAGGAGAUAUUCCAAAAAGGCAAAGAAGAGGCCAUGAGAGAAAUAGUCAUGGGGAUGAUACAAGAUGCUUUCACCAGCACUGACCCGAAGAUGGUAGAGUUGAGGGCGUAGAUGUUCCGACAGGCAGGUGUGCUACCACGACAGGGUGAAGCCGUCGUACAAGGACAAAUGGUGAUGUGUACCUCAGAAUUCCAAAAGAACCCGGUCGAUGAGAUCGUGGUGCAAACACUAUGUAUGCUUCAGGUAACCUGGUGUAGGUCGGGGAGGAAGAAGGAUGUGGCACAGGGAAUGGUACAACCGCAUAACCCUAAAUCCAUGUACAAUGGCAAGCCCAUCCCGCCCGAAUAUGCCUUGGUGGAUGUGGCGUGGACACACAAUGACUAUGAGGAGGAUGAACUUGACUUUCCGACUGAAGAUGGAGUUAGGUUGAUUGGCGGAACUAUAGGCUCGCGCGUGCUUUGGAACAAGGCAGACAUUUUGUUAGAAAUGCCGACACCAACAUCUCAGCCCUCGCAACUGUUGGGUAUUCUUAACAUCAUUACCAGAAGUAGACUAAGUUCUCUAAAUCUAGUAACGGUGCCAAAAAUGCCAAACCUAUCCCUCACACCACUUAAGCCAAGUUGUCAUCCCCAGCAUGAUAUGAGAGAUGCGGUAUUGAAAUAUGCAAAUUCUCUUCUAAAUAAAUAAUGAAUGGGAUCUGCAAGCGCACAGAUUAAUACCGAUGCAGCAUUUUAACCGGGAAGUAUUCCAGGUAUCGUUAUUUAUAUUUUUACCACUGGGAAGGGAUUAGAAAUCAUCACUAUUGAUUACAGAAUAGAAUAUGAGAUUGAGCAUCUAUCAUUGCAUGUAUAAUUGAGAACAUUAUAUCUAACUCUUCAUACAGAGAUAAGUGUCACAUAAAAGAUAUAUGAAAUAAUAAUAGUGACAAGGAUAACUAAUCUGAUCUAGCCACAUAAUAAAUAUGAUAAGCACCUCAAUUAGAUACUCUAGAAAGUCAUUAGCAUGGUAUUAGAACGAACUACAAGAAUAUUCCCUAAAUUAUUCUUAACUAUAUAGUCUAGCAUUAUCAUAGUUAGUGCAAGCAUACAUAGCAAUCAUUGUGAGACAAGACUACGCCCAUGCAUAGUGAUAUUAGCAAGGAAUAUGAGAAACAUAGCAAUCACUCCCCUGUAAUAAUGUUGCUUUGCCAGCCCAAUACAUGAGAGGGGGACUAUAUAAGAAUCAAUGAAGCUGUCACUAUCACGAACCACCCCACGAUCUGGCAUAUUGGGUACAAUCGCAGAUAAAUACGGUAUAAGAACCACGCCUACACAAUAUCUAUCAUUUACCAAUGGAUCCGAUGGAUAAACGCUAUACGAUCCUAAGCAUGUAUAUAGAUCAAAUCUAACUAAGCCAAGUACAUAACUAUGAUAAACUAAGAACAAUAUAAUCUUGAAUAUAAGCAAGUAGAGCAAAGCCAUAAGCAAUAUAUUGAAGUAGAACAAAGUCAUAUUCAUAAUAUUGAAGAACAAAGAUAAUUAGAAAGCAAUUAGAAGCACAAUUAGAGAAUUACCAAGAAUCCUCUUGACAGAUCCGGAAACCAAUCGAAGAUUGACUCCUUCUAGUUCUAAUCCUAUGUAGCUAUGCUAAUCUAGAUGUCUAAUUGAUGUGGUGGCUCUAAUCUUGAUCAGAGGCUUCUUCUCCCUUGAUGGAACAAUGAAUUAGGGUUGAGAGGCUCCCUCCUCCAGGGGCCAGGGGGUCUGGUUUUAUAGUCCCUCCAAGUGAAUAUGGGCCCUUGGAUCAAACCGACAUAGAUUGUAUGGUUUAGAUUCAUCCUUUAGGUCGGUGGAGAUCUCCCGCAAAGCAGAGUCCUGAUUGGACUCAGGGGCAGGGCGGGCGCCCUGACCAACUGGGCGGGCGCCCAGGGUCAGGCCCCGUUUCGCCUCCGCUUCGGUCUCGUGGCUUCUGGAGUCUUCUAGAUGUAAGAUAAUUGCGCAGCACGUUAAUAUCUUUACGUAAUCCCGACAUGUGGGCCUUUCUUCCAUAUUUCCUGAUAACCCCCUGCAGAAAUAGACAAACACCAAAACUCCUCACAAACUUAGAAAUUAAUAUUCUAACGGAUAUACGGUGGCAUACAUUCGUCUCUCGAUACGAUAACUAUCGAUUUACACGUGCACUGUUAGAGUACCUGCAGAAAACUUCAUUUCAGCCCAACAGUUCCCAAUAUAUCACUCAAGAACGCAGUAAACUAAGUGCACAUUGCUUGGACAUGCCCCAGCAUGCACAAACAAUGACACAACAAAUACCCGAGAAAUUAAAUGCUCCCCAAUUAAGUUUCUUUCGUGGUUCCAUGGUUUUGACAUGUAACCACUCCAGAAAACCACCGCGAACACUCCCCUAGACCGCCGUGUGGACGAUCAUGCUCUCACAGCUCACACUUACGAGAGCGUAGGUGCGACGUUGCAUAAUUUAAAUCUAGCGACAUAUGUGGCUACUUCACAUAUGAAGGCUACCUCCACCAUUAGACCAUAGGGUAGCAUAGUGCGGUCAUCACACAUCCAUACCUGAGUACUGCCGGAGAUGCAUAAAUAAAACCCCCCAAGUCAGUACUUUAAAUAGCCACCUAUAGUCCUUAUGUGGGCAAGGAGGAUUCGACCACUGGCAUAACUUAAAUAUUGAUUUGCACCAUUUUAUUUACAAACUCUUUUGUUUUUAAAUACACAAACGCUGCAUUUAUAAUGCUGAACUUGCUCCGAUACCAGCUAUCACAGAACCGACCAAAUUAUAAGAGUUCGAGUGUAGAAACGAUCAACAAGCAACCAAGUUUCCAAACUUGAGCCCAUAUAAUCCCGGUAGUCAAUUGAAAUCACGAAGGACUUCAAACCAACUUGCAACAAACCAAGAUCGUAAUAAUUCAGCACAACACAGUGAAUGUUACACAGUCAUUCAUUGCCGUCAAAGCGGCACCACAUCGGAGUAUUAAGUUAUUACAACACUUGUUCGAAGUAGCGGAAGCAAAAUAGUUACACACACUUUCCAAAGUCCAGUUCAUAAGUUCGAGUUACUGCCAGAGUCUACAUCAUCCUUCCAAAAGCAACAGGUACGAGGUUGUUAGGUUAGUCCUCAUCCCGAGCGGGAUGGAGACAGGUCUUGCAGAAGCCGUCAUAAAAGAUAUCAUCAGCAACAGGUGGGAAUAAACCCUGAGUACGAGAUUGUUCUCAGCUAGACUUACGCGUCUAGUAAAACAUAAAAGACACCAAGGAUCAUGCAACGCUAAUAUAUAAAAGUAGAGCUGGUUGACUCAAUAUUUUGCCAAAAGCCUUUAUUAUAACUAACCUAUUGUAAGAGCUUCAUAUUUAUUUAUCAUUAGCCUACCGCUAGAUUAGCACCUGUACUACAACACCUCACUUGAUUAUUAAAAACAAUAAUAACCAUAUCAAAUUCAUCAUAUGUUCUUCUUUGCUAUCAUCAUUAUCAUGAACCAAGUUCAUUAGUGAAUGCUACGUUUGCCGCUGCUCUGUCAAGUUCUCACUAACAGGGAGAGAUGGAGAUUCGAAUCGAAUUCCUAUCCAGCUGGAGGGUUAUUCCUAGCACUCACCCAAGCAUCCCCCGUCGGAGAGCCAACGGGUCACCUUUGGUACAACUCAGGAAUCGCGGCUCCGACAAGCGCCACACUCCUAGGGCUACCACUCUGCCAGGGAGGUUAGGAAUUUUAACUCACCUGCCUUUGGGCUUACGCCAAUGGUCCCCCGCACACCGCACUUCGUCCUGUAGUGCUCACUUUAUACUUGCCGGUCUUCCGGCCUGAGUCAUACUACUCGGCUUCGCGGUCGGAACGAGUUAUCCGGCCAACUAAGUGUUAGGCAUGCGUUCAACAUGACAAGAGGACGUACAACGGUCGGUCUUUAGCUGCCACAGAUGGAGUUACUACAACCUUGCAAAACUCCACCUGGCUUAAGUCAAUUUAAUCAGGUUCCAUCCACGAUAGCACAUAUAGACCAUCGUGAUCCCUCACAACCCUAUAUCGCGCAGGUGACAGGAAAUCACCCGACUUCUACCGAUUAAGCAUGGCUAGGCUGCUACCCGAUCCUAACUCUACAACCAAGGUAGGGUAAAUUAUAUGGACAAGGAUGGAAUAGAGUGCAGCAAAGGUUUUCAUCACAACUCCUAUACUUAAUGCAUCAAUAGAUAUAACAUAUUAAAUAAACUUUCGAAAGUAAAGGGAGGCUUAGAAUGCUCCGGGGCUUGCCUUUCACGAACGAGGCUGGCUCAUGGUUCGGGCACUCAACUUCUUCUUCGGGCUCCUCGAGUCCGACUGGCUGGACCUCCACCUCCUGGCUGCCCUCCUGGCCUUCGGGGUUCACUUGCAGAUCGAAGGAGGAUGCCAUGUCCGAUGCACCUAUUGCAUGCUCGGUGAAUGAGAAGGCGUGCAUACAAAAGAAUGAAUGCUUGAUAACAUAAGUGACCCACUGGACACUCAUUUACGGAGCAAUAGUUAUAACAAGUUCACACAAGUUAACAAGUUAACUUAGCCCAAAACCUAUCGUGAUAACCUAUAACAGCAAGCAAUAUAUAACAGAAUUAGCUCAGAAAACAGAUCAUAACUAUUACCACAAAGAUUCAACAAAUUUAAGUGAGGACAUUCUGGAAAGCUUAUGAAAUUGUCUACAAAUCAUCUUUAAACAUCACAGCAAGAUUCAUAAGUUAAAGAAGCCAUUUAAACAAAGUUCCAGGUUCUGUCCCAGAAAAACAGAGAACACCUAUUUCUGGAACCUAACUUGGAAAGAUCAUAACUUCAAACUACUGGACCAAAUGAUCCCAACUUUAAACCAUAGCUAGUUCAAUAAGUUUACAACAACUUUGAUUUAGACAAGUUUCCCAGAAAGCCAAGUUAUCAUUAAGCAAAAUUUAAAUUACUCCCUUGCUGUCCAGAACAGCUUUUAACCCACUAAUUAAUUAUUUAAUGAUAUAACCAAAGCAUAAACAGUGCCAACCACAUAACUUAUAAGUACAAGCAUGUCAUAAGGUUACCAGAACACCACAUGAUAACCUCCAAAUGCUUAUUAACAAGGCAUUUAUUAAUUUAAUUCUAGAGAGGAGCAUAAUUACAAGAUACUCGCAAAAGUGCUCAGAAAAAUCUACAAACAUUACAGAGGCACCAGUAUAGCACCACAGCAUCACCAUAAAAAUUUCAGAGCAAUUGCACAUACCAAAUUAAAGAUAUGUAUUUAACAUAUGACAAGGUGUUUAUUUCAUAAAUUCAGAAACAUGACUUAUAUGGUGUCAAACAACAGAUUUCAGAUUAUUUACAUAUUAGGGAUGUCAUAAACAAGUUUACCACCAAAGUAGAACACCAGCAUAAGCACCAAUUAUUUUAUAUGAUUUAAUUAAAGAAACAAGCCAAAUCCCAAACAUAAAUUACAUAACAAAGCUGCAGUACUCCAAAAAUCAUGAAAUAUUUACCAUAGCAUUCUAGUAUCACACAGAGACUACCAUAAAAUUUUCAGAGCAAACUAAGCAGUAUAACCAGAGAUAUGAAUUUAUCCAUGAAUAAGAAGAUUAAAUCCUUAAUAAAUAUUUUCCCAGAAAACAUAGGUUCAUUUUAUAUUUUUGUUAAAGCUAGCCAUCUCAAGGAACACCACAAAAUUGGUUUCACCAUUUUUGGAUCAACAGAACUAGAGAUAUGAUUUUUGCAAGAAAGCCAAAAAUCUGGAUUUGAAUAAAAGAAAAGGAGGGAAGUGAGGUGACACUGACAGUGGACCCCGCCUGUCAGGGUCGUCUUCCUCACCACCGAGGCGACUCUCGCCGGCGAUUUCUCCGCGACGGCGAGGUCUCCGACCAAACCAAGGGCACCAACGUGAUCCCUUGACUCUAGCGACUCGAUUGAUCCCCUUUUCCCCACGGCGGAGCCACCGGAAGGGGCUCACCGUCGAUCAUGGCGGCUUGGCGGAGGUGCUCGGCGUUACGCCGGAGUCCUCAAGCCGGUAGAGCGUGACCUAGGGUUUCCUACAGCACCAGCGGACUAUGGCGAAGCUUCCUAGGUACGCGGCUUGGCUUGAAACAUCGUGGAACACGCUGGCCACGAGAGCGCCCAUCUCUGGCGGAAACACGGCGGCGCUGCGCAUCGUGUCCGGCGACUGUGGGUUCGGUAGAGCGUCCAGCAAGUGGCGCAAACGCUUGCUAGGAACCUAAGCAACCUCUAGAACCUAACCAGAGAAGACGGGCGGCUUCACAGGGCUCGGCAUUGAGUUCGCCGGAAAAGAAGGUCACAGCGACCCGAUUUGUGGGAAGAAGGAAAUGGCGGCUCACCGGUGGAUUUCACGGCGAGAUGAUGGGUGGAGAAUGGAGACCGGUUCACGGCGAAGCUUCGGAUGAAGUUUGGUGGGCAAUGGCACAGCAAGGAACGCGCACGAGCUCGCCGGAGUGAGCUCGCGACGGUGAGCUCACUGCGGCCGCGUUCUGGCGAGAGAGUGAGUGGAAGGAGAGAGUGGACGCGUCCACUGCGUCCGGGGCGUCGCCGUGGAGGUCAUGCGCGCGCUGGGAGCUGACGAGCGGGGCCAUCGCCGACGUACGGGCGCCAUCUGGCAGACAGGUGGCGCUCUGGACGUUCCCGACGGCGAGCUCCACUCUGAAUCAAACGACGCGAUCAGGGUCUGACAGAGCGACUUCGACGAUGAUUAUCUCCCAAACCAGAGCGAGUUAGGAGAUGAUGCAGUUGACAAAGUUGGAGUUCCAAUCGAGUUCUACAACAUUGUCAACUAGAGCAAAAGCCAGAUCGGCCUGGAUUGAGAGAUGUAGAGUUUUCAAAACCGAUCAAGCAAACUGUUUUCGCUCAAAGACUUAGAAAAUUUCCAAAGUGUUGGAAACAACCCCAAAUCUGCCUUGUAGGUCAAUUUUGAGCUAGUUGUGAUCAUUUUCAUGAGAUGGCCAUAAAACAACUUUUGUUCCUUAUAAAAUUUGAUACAACUUUGCUGUAGAAAGUUUUGACAUGCAAACAAUUUAUGAAAUACUUUUUAAAAGCCUAAGCAAAAGAGGUUUCUAGAGCCUAUAUGCAUAAGUAUGACUUAAGUGAUUAUUUUGGAGAAGUGAUCAACAUGAACAUUGUUCCCAAGGUUAAGUUAAGCAUAGAUAAACUAAUUACCAAUGCAUAGAGCACAAACACAAGCAUGGUUCACUCAAACAUAAGCAUAGGAAGCCUAUUUAAGUAAUUUAGAUCACAUUUUUGCAUAGAAUGACAUGGCUCAAGAUAGAUGAUGAUCAUGAUAUGCUUUGAGUAGAUGAUGAUGGGCACAUGAUUUAUGCAACCAUAACACAGGGGUGUUACAAAGAAGGGACGGGUAACGGAGGACGGCACCUAAACCACUCUGACGCGGCCGCAGUCGCGACGUACGAGCGUGCAACGGAUAAACCGGUCGAGGACAGCGCACAGGAGCAGGAUUCAGGGGCACGCGUAAUCAUCAAGGUACUGAGACAAGACGGCUCGAGGCCACGCCGGUACGGAGGCCUCGAGUAGGUCAGCGUGCCAUACCCUAUCGACCUGUACUCUAUAGCCUAUGCAUGUAACCUAGGCCUCUCCUUGGAACUAUGAAAGGGGAGGCCCAGGAGCGGAUACAGGAGACAAGAGACAUACGUAGAAGAGCCACCAUAUUCCAUCCACCCAACGCCUGUAUUCACACCUGUACAAGCACUUAGGUGCAAGAUAAUACAAACACUCUCCCCCCGAUGGACGUAGGGCCUUCUCUUGCCCGAACCAAGAUAAAUCUUUGUGUCUUUUCUUGCAUCACCAUCUAGAAAGGGGAGCACGCACUAGUUUUACUCGUUGGUGUGACCCCCUGGGGGGAAAACACCGACAUGACCAUUGGCACACUAUGUAGUUUUCCAAAAACUCAUUUUAACACAUUGAUGACCAUUAAUAGGAAAUUAACUUUUAUUAACCGGUUUAAGUUUGCUUUAGAACAUACUUAUGAACAGUAUUCUGCUGAACCUUGCUCUGAUGCUAGCUGUAACAGAACCACCCAAAUUAUAAGAGAUUAAGCCCAAUAGCGACCAUUUGCACAGUCAACUGGCCAAGCUUAAGCCCAUAUAAUCUCGGUAGUCUGUGAAAUCUUGAAGGAUUUCAAACCACAUACGUACAUACAGCCAAGACCGUAAUGAGUCUAGCGAUAACCAUCCACAAAUAUAUCCAGUUCGCAACAUUCAGAGAUUACAUCGUAGUUCAAAUAUCAUUAUUACAAACAAAGUUCAAGAGUAGCGGAAGCAUCAUAGUUUUAAAAUAACGCACACACUUAGUCUGAUACAGUGCCAUAGUUUGGUCAUUCCCACAACAGCAAAAGAAGAGGUAGAGUGACCAUUGCCCUUGGUCUAGUCAUCACCCAUUGCUGGGUACAAGUAGUGAAUGCAAUACCCAUAGUAUAUCUACCCAUCUAUAAAAACAACAUGGGAAUGGAACCCUGAGUACGAGAAGGUACUCAGCUAGACUUAUCUGUCAUAAACUAAAAAUAAAAGACUCUUCAAGGAUCAUGAAGGCUGUAUAGUGGGAUAGCUGAACCCUUUUUGCGUAAAAGUGUUAACCAUCUAGAAGUAUAUCCUGACAUCCACCUUUCUUUUAUUUAGCUCAUGUUAGGUAUUAUUACCUAUCAUCUAGAUUUGCACCAAUACUAUUGCAAACAAUUGUUGUGGUAUGAUAGUACCUUAUCAUAACAUUCACAAAUCAUUCAUUACUGUAACCAUAGUGUUCCAUAGUCCUUACUACAAGGACGAAGCUCAAGUCAAGUGCUCUCUAUCCUGGAGCGAUAGCGAUUCGAAUCGAUUUCUGACCAGCUAGCCCCACACAAACCACACUCACUGAUCAAGUGAGCUACAAAUCACCAUAUUACACUACGCAGGACUAAUUCACGGGUUCAACAGGCACCGCCCGUACCCGAGGACCAUUCCAGCGACCGAGGUGUCCAAGGUAUACCAAGGUUGCGCAACUCGCCAUCAUCGUUCUCCUCAACCAGCACCAAUACAGCGCGUACAUCUGGCCGAUUCUCGCCUCGGAUAGUGUUCAGGCUUCGCGGUCAAAACGACUUAUCCUUCCAGCUAAGUGUGGGGUAUGCGUUCAACAUGACAAGAGGGCCGUCAACGAUCGGUCCUUAAUCGACACAGGCAGGGGCACUAUGGUCAACACCACCAUAAGACCCUACCUUGUCUCAGCUUCUUUCCCACACUUGGUAACUUUUCACGAAAGCAUUGACAGCUAACAUUUAUGUAUAGACUUCCACCGUGCUAAGCAAGCUAAGCAUAGACUCAGAGCCUAUCUACUUAGGACAAGGUAGGUAAACAGGUGGUGAUAUCAAGGAGUAAAUAUGCAUCAACGGUAUCAAGCAACUCCUAUCUCUUAAAUGCAACAUUAUGAAACAAUCAUGAUAUAUUAAAUUAAUUUAGCGAGAAUAGGGAGACUUAGAAUGCUCCAGGGCUUGCCUCUCUCAAAGGUGCUAGGCCUGUCGUCUGGGCACUCCUGCAAAUCUCCUUCCGACCCUGGUCCUUCUAGAAGUUCCUACUCCUGUGUCUCCUCCUGCUCCUGAGGUCCCACCUCAUUCUCCUGCGAGCCUGUAUGAUGCAUGUGUUCUCAUGAGUGGAGUGCAAGAUGCCCAAAGUGCAAUGCGAGUUAAGACAAGAUGAUCAUGACAUGGUGCAUAGAUGAACAUGCACAGACCCCAUUGUUGGGUAUUUUAAACGCAAAUAGAAAAAUCCACAAGCGCACGGAUACCGAUGUAGCUUUCACCCAGGAAUAAUCCAGAGUAUCGAUUUUCCACAGGGAACGUGAGUGUACUAAUUAAGAUUCAAGAUCACCCAAGGAUAACUAUAUAAUUAUUUUUGGUGGGAAGAGAGGAAGUUUCUUGAGAGUUCUCUAUUUGAUCUAAGAAUCAAGAAUUACUACAAAGAUUAAUUAUUGUGGGACAUCAGACCACUAACCACAGAAAGAGAUAAGAAGGGGGUUAGGAAGCUCUGACUACGGUCCUACAAACACCGAUCUGAACGAGGUGGGAUACGUCGACCGUUAGGGAUAUCACUACCCUAGGGCUACCACAACAAUCCGCAAGAUUGGGUGAAAUUUCAGGUAAUUGCAAAACUAAACACCACGUCUAAUCUAUUAAUUACUACUCUAGCGUUAUAAAGACUAGAGCACUUGAUGGAAGCGGGAAUCCAGUAAAUAACUUGAAUGUAAAUAAAAGUAACUAAAGAACUCAAGAAUUAUGAAUUGAAGAACUUGGAGAACGAUGAAGAAAGAACCAAUUGCAGCAAAAGUAUAAUGUUGAGGAAGAUCCGACAGAUCUGGCUCCUCCUCCGCUCUCCUCUUCUCUCUCCCUAUUUUCUAGAUUACAACUAGAACUAACUAGAACUAGAACUAGAUGAACUAGAACUAGAACUAGAUGAACUAGAUGGAUCCUCUCUACUUGGAUGAAUAAUUGAAACCCUAGCUUUGAAUCUAUAGAAGAGGUUUGUUCUCCAGGGGCCAGAGGGCCUGCUUAUAUAGCCCUUCCAAAUGAACGUGGACCGUCGGAUCAAACCGACCUUAAUCGCAUGGUUUUCCUUAAUCCUUUAGGUCGGUGGAGCAUGAUCCACGAGGCGGAGCCUGAUUGGCUCCUGUAGCUGGGCGGGCGCCCAAGGGGGGGGGGGGUGGGCGCCCUGCCCCCGGGCCCGCUCGGCCUCCCAUUCGUUCCCGUGGCUUCUGAGUCUUCUAGAUGAUAGAAAAUUGGCGCACACGUUAAUAUCUCUAUGUAAACCCGACGCGUGGGCCUUUCCUCCACAUUUCUUGAUAACCCCCUGCAGAAAUAGACAAACACCAAAAUUCAUGGAAUUCUGUCAGAUAAAACCCUAAGUCUGGGUGUUGGUUGCAUUUGGAUACAUUUACAUGAUUAGUUGACGGUUAAAUGUGAGCAUUAAGGACAGUCAACAAGCUCCCCCAAGCUUAACCUUUGCUCGUCCCUAAGCAAAGCUAAAAUUAGCAAGAAAACAGGGGCUACUUUUAUGCCUCUUACUACAGGGUUUUUAAGUUAUUACUAAGGACUUAAGUGAUUGAAAAAUAGAACGAUCAAGUCAAGCACUAUGUCUCAAGUUCUUCUGUCUUACCUUUGUUCUGGAGUUUUUUUUUUUGUAAGUUUCCAAAAUAAAACUGAGGCAUUUGCCUUCUUCUUGAAAGAUAUAUAAGUAGAGCUUUAAAAGUUUUAGCAUACUUACUUUGCAUUUUGCUAUGUCAAUGCUCAGAGCAAGGGAAAGGAAUAUCAUACUCCUAGAUCAAGACUUUGACCUUUUUGAAAAGUUUGUCAUCUCUUACUGGCAUAUUGCUUAUUAGAGGGACCAUGGGCUAUUAUUUUUUUCUUUCUUUUUUUCAGUCUCUAUCUUACUUUUUUUUUCAAGUGGGCACCAAGUACCCCUAAUUCUACUAUCGGACACGUGUCCAUUUUUUCCACUCAGGUGGGUAUCUUUGUACCCCUAAUUCUACUUCGGACACUUGUCCAUUUUUACCUCUCGUCUCACUCUUUUUUUCGAACCAAAUUUUUGCAUAGUCCCAUGCCUCUAAUGCAAUAAUACUUCGAGAGAGUGAAUCUUUUAUAUUUUUCAAACAAAAAGACCUUUAUCUUUGGAGCAUGAUAAUUCUCUCAACCAAAUCUAUAAGAAUUAACAAUGGCUUGAACAAAGCAAGUGCCCAUAGUUAUAAUAUUUAAAUCUUAUAAGACUCUAGGUAUUAUGUCAAACAUGAUUUCAUUUUUUUUAGAUUUUCAAAAGAUAAAAUCUCUAGAACUCUAGCGAAACUUGGAACAAGUUAAAUAGUAGAUCAGAUCUUCUCAUAUCAUGUUUGUCAAUUACCUAGACUUGGAUCAAACUUUAUUUUUAUCUUAUUUAAAACUUAGGAUUAUACAAAACUAUUGUAUAUUACUCAAAAGAAAAACUUUGUUUGGUUUCAUGGUUAUGCAUUUUUUUAUUUCCGAAUACUAGUAAAUAAAACCAAGAAAGAAAAGUAAUACUUAUCUAGAUAAACGUGAGGGUGCCUCCCCCAAGCUGGAUGUUGACAUACACUACUACAAAAAAGAUUAACCGUGAUGGCCAAAACAGGUUAACCGUGGCGGGCAAAGCAACCGCCAUGGAUGAAAGGCCACGGUUAAUUGUUGCCUUAACCGUGGCGGUUGUCCAACCGCUACGGUUAAUAUAUUAACUGAGGCGGCCGCUGUUAGAAAACCGCUUUGGUUAAUGGCUUUAUAGAGGCGGCGGUUAUAAAGCAACCGCUUUCGUUAACAUUUUAACCGAGACGGUUUUUUUAAAAUGCCCGUCUCCUUUAAUACAUUAACAGAGGCAGUUUUUGUAACUUGCCCGCCUCCUUUAAGUGUAUCCAGAGUAAAAAAAAACCUCAUUUCAGUUUAUUUUCAAAUUUGAAUCCAAAAUUUGUUAGGUUGAAACAUAUACAAAGCAAAAUACAUAUGUAUAAAGGAUGACCACAUUGAAUCCGAAAUUUGCUAGAUUGAAACAUAUACACAGCAAAAGACAUAAGGAUAAGCACAUAUAUUACAUCCAUAUAUGUCAUCUUUAUCAUUCCACGGUCCAUGCUGUAACAGAACCGUCCAAUUUAUAAGAACUCAAGUGAAUUAGCGACCACCAAAGUAGUCAAGCCAAUGGACUUGAAUCCAUAUAAACCCGGUAGUCCGAUGAAAUCUCAAAAGACCUCGAUUCAACCAAUCAUACAACCAAGAUCAUAUAUGAUCAAGCAUCACCAUCACAGAUUACAACAUUCAUCACAGAAUAUAGUUUUACAACACAUCAGAGUUUAAAGAGGUUAUUACAAACCAUAGCAGUAGCGGAAACAAAGUAGUUUUGAAGCAACACCAUCUCAGUUUAUAAUACAUGCCAGUUCCAUGGUCAAGUCCCAACAAAAGCACAACUGAAGAUAAAGGAGGUGAUCACGCCCAUGAUCUAUUCAUCAUCCGCAGCCGGGUGAUGACACUUAGCACAGUAGCCGUGGUAAACGACAUCAUCUGCAACAGGGUAAAUAAAACCCUGAGUACAAGAAUGUACUCAGCUAGACUUACCCGUCAUAAACCAGAAAUAAAGUGACACCAAGGAGUAUGCAAGGCUGAUCUUUGUGGACUGGUUUGACUCACCAUUUGCAUAAAAGCCUUUGUUGUAAGUAAUUCAUGUAUCAUAUUUCAGCAGCAAGUUCAUUACUUAGAGACUAUCCACUAGAUUAGCACCUACUCUAAGCAUACACUUGAGUCUUUAAGCAUUACAAUAAUAACCAUAUCCGGAUUAUCACAUAGCUAUCAACAUUCUCAUCAUAACCAUUAAGUUUAUUCAGUGAAUUCUACGUUGCCGCUGCCCAAGUCAAGUUCUCACUAUCCGGGAGAGACGGCGAUUCGAAUCGAUUCCUAUCCAGCUGGAGGGGUAUUCCUAACACUCACCCAAGCAUACUUCAUGGCGGCAGCUCGGAUCACCUUUAGCACAACUCCGGACCAAUUCGCGGGUCCGUACGGCGCCGCACGCCCAGGGACCGCCAAUCUGCCAGGGUCAGGACUCUAACCUGACACCUCGGUCUUACGCCAUUGACUCCCCGCACAUCCUUACUACCAACCGGGGUGCGCACUUUAACUAGAUUGGGGUAUCCGGCCGGAGUUGCACUCGUAGGCUUCGCGGUCGGAACGACUUAUCCGGCCAACUAAGUGAUAGGCAUGCGUUCAACAUGACACGGGGACGUACAGCGAUUCGGUCCUUAAACGACACAGACGGGGAUAGGUUCACACCCAAGACCUCCAUGCCUUAUUGCUGCACUAUCAUCGUCCCACCCGGUCUCAAGUUCAUUAUUAGCACAAGGUUAUUUCCAUGAUAGCAAAUAUAGCCAACCGUGAUCAUCAUCCACCUAAUUCUCGCAGGUGACAGGAAAUCACCCGGCUUCUACCGAACUAAGCAUGGCUAAGCAUUUCUUCGAUCCUGGACCUACUUUGGUAAUGUUUAAGGUGGACAAGGUAGUCAUUAUGCAGCUAGGGUGUCAUAUCAACGCCUACCACUUAAUGCAACAAUAUAUAACCAUAGUCAUUUGAUAGCUGAACAUGAUAAUAAAAUAGUAGGAGGCUUAUAAUGCUCCGGGGCUUGCCUUCAACGUAAGUAGAGGGACGAUGGUCCGGGCACUCCGGCAAGUCCUCCUCCUCCUCAGCUCCUUGAGGUAGCUCCCCUUGCUGUCCUUCUGGCUUCGGCAGCUCGAACUCCAGCACCGUUACUCCCUUGGGUACACCUAUGUAUGCAGGACAAGGAGAUGAAUAUAGAGAAUGCUCAUAUGAUGCAUGAUGUCAUGACGAGGAUCCAAAUGGACAUAAACAAGGUAUAACAUGAGCAUAACCCUUAACAUUAAUUGAAACAUGGGCUAACAAGUAAGUGCAUACUUCUUCUCUGGUAGAGAGACUAAAUAGACAAGUUAAACAAUUUCUAGCUACUCCUACUCAGCCACUGGUUUAGUAGACAAACCAACCAGUCACAAGUUUCAGCCAUAACUCAAGAAUAUUUUAACCAAACUAAGCAAGCAAGUACUUUCUGGAAAGGUUAGAAAAUUUUCUACAAUUCACUUUUAGACAUCCCAGACUGAUUCCCAACUUAAAUAUGCUAAAACCUAUAAAGUUGGCUGGCUGCUCUGGAAAUUCCAGAGAGCAAGCACUUUGCAGCAGCUACUUGCAACAUGCAUAACUUUCAAACUACUCAACCAAAUGUCAUGAAAUUUGGAUACAAAGUAGAUGAGUAAGUUAUCUACAAGUUUGUUGUAGACAAGUUUCCCAGAAAACAUAAUCUUCAAUUAGUUCUUAAUCAUUUGCUAUCAGCUGUACAGAAAUGCUCUAGGAAAGGCAAAAAUAGCUAAAAUAAUAUUUUACACAUAUUGAGAAUGUAUCAAAAGAACAAUUCAAUUGCACCAGUAGGUAGAACAUAUCUAAGAAACACCAGAAAACAUCAUGGCAAGGUCUAAAACCAUUUCUAUCCUCACCUUUUUCAUUUAUUUAAUUAUUAAGGUGUUUUAAUGAACAUGCAUUCCAAAUGUUCCAAAAAUCCUAAGAAAAUUACAGCAAGCUCCUUAUGCUGACAUAAGAUCACUGUAAAAUUUUUAGAACAUCUGCACAUACAUAUUGUGAGAUACAAAAAUAACAAGCUAGCAAAGGCAUGCAAGGCAUAAAUGUGAAACCUCAUCAAAUGGUGUCAAACAACAGAUUUCAGAUUUUUCCUAGCUUUGUCUACACAUAAGUACAACACUCAGCAAGUUUCAUCACAAAAAGAGCUAUAACUUAUUUAUUAAAAAUAUCACAAGAAACUCCUAUUUAAGCAAGAACUAUUUUUAACUCCUCACCCAGGCUUCCAAAAAUCAUGAUAAAUUUACCAGACCGUAUUCAUAUCAUAAGUAACAGUACCCUAAAUUUGCAAGGCCAGCAGAUCAAUAUAUUUUAAGAUAUAAAUACCCAUUGAAAAUCCAAGAUUAAUUCAUAUCUAUUUAUUUCUGCAAAAACAUGGCAUGUUUCAUAUUUUUAUUAAAAACUAGACUUAUGCUGCAACCUAGCAAAAUUAGAACCAUGUCAUUUGGAUCUCUAAAACUUCAGAUAUGAAUUUUACAAAAACAGCAUUGGCUCUGCAAAAACAGUGACUGGGUGAGAGAGGAGAGGCUGACACCCGGGACCCGUGCGUCAGUGAGACAGAGCAGAGGAGAUGCUCGUCGCCGGCGAAGCUCAACGACGACGAGGUCUCGGCUGGAUCCAAGAGCAUCUACGUGUUACUCUCGUCAAGGCGACUCGGUUGACCUACUUUACCCGCGCUCUACUGGACUCUAGGGUGCUCGCCGUCGGGAAUGGCGGAACGGCGGCGCUGCGCGGCGGUACGCCGGCGGAUCCAGGCAAUGGCGACGCGGUAGAGGUUGCGGACGAGCAAGAGCAGUUCAAGGCGAAGCUAUAGGAAGAAGAAUCACGGCCAGAGGUGAACCAGAGAGGUCUGGCCUUGCCGAUGAUCUCUGUGAACUCCGGCGAGGUGAAGCUCGCGACGGAGAUGACAAUGUGACCUCACCGGUGCUCGGCUAAGGGAAUGGGGUGGACGUUGAGGUAGAGGACGUCGAGGCGGAGCUCUGAGCGGACUGGCUUGGCCGGAGACGCGGUGAAACGGCUGGAAGAGCUCACCGAAGCGCGGCGGAGCUCGCUGAGGGGACGGCGGAGCAGAAUGGGAGGCACUGAGCGAGUGGAGAGCGCAUCUGAGGCGUCCACUCGGUGCGUGGCAUCUUGUGGAAGACGUCGGGGCUGACAGGCGGGGUCGUCGACGGUGUACGGCCGACACCUGGCCGGACACACGGCGGCGGACAGUUUCUGACGAAACUGAAUCGCGUGAUUCAGUCGUCGCCAACAGUGACUGAAACUCAAACUUCGUCAACGUUUUACUCUCAGCUCAAUCGAUGGUUUUGGCUGGGAUUUGAUCCUCUGGAUAGAGCUAUAGGAGCUCUACAACUUUGAUUACAAGAUCAGAGCCUAACUCGGUCUGGAUUUCAAACUACCAGGCUCCCAAUCACCCUUGGUCGAAACUGCGUGAUCCAACACUUAGCAAAAUUCGGCUAAGUAUGAAAUCAGCCCUAAUUUUUGGCUUGUGAGCAAUUUUUGGAUAUGUUCUAAGCUUUUUCAUAAAAAGUCAUCAACAUAACUUUUGUAGCUUGUGAAAUUCGCUACAACUUUGUUUCAGGUGUCAAAGACAUGCAAGGUCUCUAACACCAGUUUCAUAAAACAUCUUUGAAAAGAGGUCUAGGGGGUCAAAAGGUCAUUCUAGGGUUAACCAUGACUUAGGGGCAUUUUUGGCCAAAACCAUCAACAUGAACUUUGUUACAAAUGAUAUUCUAAACAUGAUUGAGGUAUUUUGGAAGACAAUGUACAAUUGUUUGCAUUGGCUACCCCUUAUAGUCACUUAAUUCAAGUCACACAAGCAAUUCAAUCAUACAUGGUAUACAUAAGAUGACAUGUGAUCAUGAUAGAUGCUUAUGAAUGAGCAUGAUGAUGCUUAUGUUGAUGCAAUGCUCAUGGUUAACAUGCAAGCUAACACUAGGAGUGUUACAACCCUCCCCCCUUACAAAAAUCUCGUCCCAAGAUUUGAAAGACGUAGCAUUUUUCGUAGAAUGAGGGAUAAGUUACUUGUAAAUAGUCUUCCCUUUCCCAAGUGGCAUCUCUCUCAUUUUGACGGUUCCACAAAAUUCUAAAAAGUUUGAUCACUCUCCCACGAGUAACUCAUUCUUUGACAUCAAGAACUUGUACAGGCUUUUCUUCAUAAGAUAGGUCUGACUGCAACUUGAUAUCUCUUGAUUCAACUCUCUCUUUGGGCACACGAAGACACUUCUUAAGUUGAGACACGUGGAAUACGGGGAAAAUAGCUCUCAUUUCGGGAGGUAGUUGUACUUUGUAAGCUACCUUGCCACUCUUCUCAAUGAUUUGGUAGGGACCCACAUACCUAGGGGCAAGCUUUCUUUUAACACCAAAGCGAUUUACUCCCUUCAUAGGCGAUAUCUUUAGGUACACAAAGUCACCUACUUCAAACUCGAUUGGCUUUCUUCUUCGGUCAGCAUAACUUUUUUGUCUAGCCUAGGCAGCUCUCAUGUGUUGUUGGAUCAGGAGAACUCGCUUUUCGGCUUCCUUGACAAAGUCAAUUCUGUAGUACCUCCUUUCGCCGGGUUCAACCCAGUUUAGAGGAGUUCUACAUUUGCGACCAUACAAAGCUUCGAAAGGAGCCAUUUGGAUACUCUCUUGAUAACUAUUGUUGUACGAGAAUUCAGCUAAGGGUAGCCAUUUCUCCCAUGCACCCUUGGAAGAUAUAACACAUGCCCUCAACAUAUCCUCUAAGAUUUGAUUCACCCGCUCAGUCUGACUGGAGGUUUGAGGAUGAUAGGCUGAACUGCGAACCAAUUUUGUACCAAGGAGUGAAUGCAGAUGCUCCCAAAAGUGAGCAGUGAACUGAGGACCUCUAUCAAGAAUAAUAGUGUGAGGCACUCCGUGCAAUUUAACUAUCUGAGAGAAGUACAACUCAGCAUAGUCGGAUGGUCGGUAUGUAGAGUGUACAGGAAUAAAAUGAGCUGACUUGGUCAAACAGUCAACAAUCACCCAUAUGGAAUUGUGUCCUUUUUGAGUAAGGGGAAGUCCAACAAUGAAUUCCAUGCUGAUCUCUUCCCACUUCCAACCUGGAACCGACAAGGGUUGCAACAAACCUGUAGGUUUGAGGUGAACUGCCUUUAUCCUGCAGCAAGUAUCACACCUUGCAACAUAAGCUGCUAUGUGUUUCUUCAUUUUGGUCCACAAGAAACGAGGUCUCAAGUCUUGGUACAUUUUACUACUCCCCGGAUGAAUGGACAAUUUGGAAGAAUGAGCUUCUUCUAAAAUUUUGUUGCGUAGAUCACGGUCUUUGGGUACAACUAGUCGAUCGUCAAACCACAGUACACCUUUCUCAUCUACUCGGAAAUGCUUGGUGUCUUGCUCUUGCAUUUUUCUCUUGAUAUGAAAAAUACCAGGAUCAGAUUUUUGGAGCUCUACGAUUUGACUUUCCAAAGAGCAACUGACUAUGAUGUUGUGCAGGACCACAGGAUGCAAUAAAUUGAAGCCUUCCUCUAGGAGAGGUCUAACAUGUUGUUUCUGACUAAGAGCGUCGGCUACAACAUUGGCUUUGCCUGGGUGAUAGUGCACUUCUAAAUUGUAGUCUUUUAUCAAUUCCAGCCGUCUUCUUUGUCUCAUAUUCAGCUCGGGUUGUGUAAAGAUAUAUUUGAGGCUCUUAUGGUCAGUGUAAAUGUGACAAAGAUUACCCAACAGAUAAUGUCUCCAGAGUUUCAACGCAUGUACAACUGCUGCUAACUCUAGGUCAUGAGUAGGGUAGUUGGCUUCAUGUUUCCUCAGCUGCCGAGAAGCAUAGGCAAUAACUCGGCCUUCUUGCAUAAGUACACAACCUAGGCCAGUACCAGAUGCAUCACAAAAGACAUCAAAUGGCUUUUCAAUGUCAGGCUGUGCCAGAACAGGAGCGGUGGUCAGCAAAUGGCGUAGAGUGGUGAAAGCAACUUCACACUCCUCGGAUCACACAAACCUCACAUCUUUUUGCAGUAGCUUGGUCAUAGGCUUAGCUAUUUUGGAGAAGUCUGGAAUAAAGCGCCGAUAAUAUCCAGCUAGACCGAGAAAACUCCGGACUUCGUGCACUGAAGUCGGGGCCUUCCAGUCUAGAACCUCUUGCACCUUUGACGGGUCAACAAAAAUACCCUCUUCGGAUAAAAUAUGGCCUAAGAAAGGCUCUUUCUUCAGCCAAAACUCACACUUGCUGAACUUGGUAUAGAGCUGAUGUUCUUGUGCAUUUUCAGAAUACAGCAAUAUAUCAUCGAUGAACACCACCACAAACUUAUCCAGUUCAGGCAUGAACACCGAAUUCAUCAGGUACAUGAAAUGAGCAGGGGCAUUAGUCAGACCAAAGGACAUGACUAAAUACUCAUACAACCCAUACCUGGUAGAGAAAGUCGUUUUAGGAAUGUCUUCAGGUCGGAUCUUGAUUUGAUGAUACCCAGAUCUCAGAUCAAUUUUGGAGAAUACUUUGGCCUUGGCUAAUUGAUCAAACAGGAUAUCAAUGCGAGGCAAUGGAUACUUGUUUUUAAUGGUCACGACAUUCAGCGGACGAUAGUCUACACACAUACAUAGAGACUUGUCCUUCUUCUUGACAAAGAGAGCCGGACAACCCCAUGGAGAAGAACUAGGCCGAAUAAGACCUUUCUCUAGGAGUUCUUGCAAUUGCUUUUUCAACUGUGCCAAUUCAUUGGGUGGCAUUCAAUAUGGCCUUCUAGAGAUAGGUGCGGUACCCGGAAUUAGGUCAAUUUUAAACUCGAUGUCCCUGUCCGGUGGCAACCCGGGCAGAUCCUCUGGAAGGACAUCCGGAAACUCACACACUACCGGAAUCUCUGCCAAAGUGAGUGGUCGAAUGGCAUUGGCAGCAUGACGAAUGUCAUCAUUCUUGGGAAGCUGGACUAAGAAGGCUUCUUUGCUAUCAGGCUCCCGCAACAUAACUACUCUCGUGGAGGUAUCUAUUAACACCCCAUGCCUGCUCAUCCAAUUCACUCCCAGAAUAACAUCUAUCCCUAGGCCUGGCAGUACGACUAAAUCUGCUGCAUAAUUACGCCCUUCUAUGGCAAUAUGUACAUCCCUCACUACUUGAUUCGUAGCAAUUUGAUUACCAGCAGCACUAAUGCAAAAUUUUCCACUAUCAAGGUCAAUGACAUGUUGCCCAUGCUUAGAUGUUGACGGUCCUUAAGUAUCAAAUUUAAUUAUCAAAUAAACAAAGAAAAGAAUCCAAAUGAAAUCAACAUCUAGACUUAGGGUUUUAUCUGACAGAAUUCCAUGAGUUUUGGUGUUUGUCUAUUUCUGCAGGGGGUUAUCAGGAAAUAAGGAAGAAAGGCCCACAUGUCGGGAUUACAUAGAGAUAUCAACCCACUGCGCAAUUUUCUACCAUCUAGAAGACUCCAGAAGCCACGGGAAGGAAGCGGAGCCCGAAAGGGGCCAGGCCCAGGGCGCCCGCCCUGAGGACCUGGGCGCCCGUCCACCUCUGGACUCCGUUCCGGACUCUCUUCGCACACGACGUUCCACCGACCUAUUGGAUCCAGAAUAACAUAGUACCACCUCGCCUAUCGACCCAAAAACGCAUAGAAGGGGAGGACUAUAUAAGGAGACCCCCUCUGGCCCUUGGAGGAGACAAGAAAUUAUCAUAGAGAUUGAGGGGUGCCCUCGAAGGAAAACCUCUUCUCUAAAUAAUAUUUCUUUUUAGGCUUAGCAACCAAUGUAAAGUAGAAAUAGAUCUUCUAGUUUCUACUAGAUUGAGAGAGAUAGAGUGGAGGUGUGGAUUGGAGGAAGACCGGCCUGUCGGUGUCUACUCCGAGUUGUACCUACGGGAUCAAGUCUCCUAACCCGAGGCUUGCUUCUAAGAUUCUUCAGUAAUUCGACUUCUAAUACUAGUAAGUUCUUGUUUUAUUGUUCUUUGGUUUAUGAGUUUACUUUAAUCCUCUUCCGGUUGAGUAUUAGAGUAAUCACUUGUUAGCGUAAACGUGGUGUUUAGGCUAGGGUACUCAUAGAUAUCCCCUGACUAGCUGGACCAUGGUAGUAGCGAGGAACGUGACAUUUCUGAGUUACAUUUGUAGAUCACAUCUCGUUAGCAGGAUGGGUAGGUUUAUAGGUGCGGGUCGAACAUCCUAUGUGUUGUCUAGAUUCCGUGAGCCUCCCCAAUAGAACAGUAGAUCAUCCUUACCAAGGUUAGAACGAGACUACGGUUGCAGUCUUCUCUAUACAUCACUCACAUCGAGAGACAUUCUUUGUAGCCUAAAAGGAUAGUAGCAAUAGAUUUGGUUAGUCAGAUGCACCCUUUCUCCCAGUGGUAAAAAUAUAAAUACGAUACUCUAGAAAACCUCCCGGGUGAAAUGCUCACCGAUAUCCGUGCACUUGCGGAUCAUUUUCUAAUUGCGUUACCAAAUAUCAACAAGCAUUUCUGGCGCCGUUGCCGGGGAGAAAGACGGUUUGCUGAGAUAACUUUGAGUCUUGCUAUUAUCUUGUAUUAUACUUUUAUACUUUUAUUCUUUUAUCUUUUUAUCUUUAUGGAUAACUCAAAUUCCAUACCUAUUAUUAAAUUCUUUGCACCUUCGGAGACCAACCAUAGACCAUGGGAGUCAACACGUUCUGCCCCUAAUUAUGAUCUGUGUCCGGAGUUGAUUGCAAUAGGUCAAAACCAACCCUUUUCUAUAGCCGAGGUCCUAUCUUUUAAUCAAAAAGAUAAUGCACUUUUAGCUACACCUAGGGAAUCUGUUAAUCUUUCUAUAAAUUCUGGUUUAGACCUAGCCCUACAAGACCAUGUUUUUCCUAGAUAUUUUCACAUUGGUCUUAAUCAUAUAACCUUUGGUAGAGUCUUUCUUUCUUUAUCUAUUAGUAAAGGAAGGUAUGUCUUCAUUUGUGGACAUCCUUCUUGCACUAGUCUUCAUAGAAAAAUCUUAGAAAUAGAGAAGGAAUCAUAUCCCAGACGAGGAAAGGAAGUUUCAAUUGCCGAUUUCCAAACAUUUCAAUCCCAUGAUUCGGCUAUCCAUCCCAUCCUGGAGCUUAAUAAAUUCUACUAUGCUCUUUCUCUUAAACCUCCCGAUAAUCCUAUGAAUUUCUCUAGACAUCCCCUGCAUAAGAAGGAGGAUCGAGAAGAGCAACAUCGAUGGCUAGAGGGCAUUAAAAAUCUAUGUGCUAUCACCAUUGAAUGGAUAGAUAAAACAAACUUGAGAGACAAUCCUAGAGGAAUUUUUAGCAUUCAUGAAGAAUCAUCCUUGGAGUUUGAGAAUGAGAGAAACAACAGUGAGCAUGGAAGUUAUUUCAUAAAUACCUUACCCAGUCCUUGCUCAUAUAAAACAUCUCUCCAAUCAAUUAGUCUCCCCAUCCUUAUCACAUUUGAGAUCUCCAACCCUCUCUUCUUUUCUAUUUAUAAAAACUUUAAAAGAGCGGUUGUCGAUGCAUAUGUCUAUAAUAAAUAUUGCAGGUCUCGUUGAGUUAAUUGAUGGUUUCCCAAGGACAAGCUUAGUGUCCUAAAACAAGCACUUCUAAUUAUUUGCAACAUUGCCUUGUGUAUUAAGCAUAUAAAGAUAAUUGUAGAAAUAUUCCUUCGGGUAUUCUUGUCACUAACCUUUCCAGGAUUGGAGCAAGAAGAUCGGAUGAAUGAUAAGCACAAGGUAUGUCCAACCAACCAUCACGCAACAUUGAAUUAAAUUCAUCCAAACUUGAAUUUUGCAAAAUUCAAGCUUGGGGGAGUACUUUACAUAAAAACAUCAUUUGCCAUGUUGGUUGCCCUUACCUUUGAGACAUGCUCAAUUUGUUAAAUACGAAUUACACUACUUCACCUCCACUUGAGUAGAUCGCUAUAAAUGCUCUCAUGCUACCUUUAUUUGCUUUAGUAUAUGUCUAGGUUUGGAGUAGUUUCAUUUAUCUCUUAAAUCAAGCAUGGUGCUUAGUUUAGGAAUGAUGAUCUUACUUCCAAAGGAUUUUUAAAUUAAGCAUGGUGCUUAGGUUAAAAUGCCCUCCUAAAUCAAAUUAGACAUGGUGUCUAGGUUGAUUUUUGAGCCGAUAGUAUGCUAUAGUAGAUAUGGGAUAUUUUGUUGGACUAACCCCUACAGGAAAACUUUCAAUAUCAACCUGGGAAGUCGUGAGAUACAAACUCAUUGGAGAUAAAGGAUACACAUGAAGUUUAACAAUUAGCACAAGAAGGACAUAGCUCAUUCAUCAUAAAGAGAUGAUAUAUGGAGGGUGCCACAAACACGAUGCACAACCGCUAAGAAAGGAAAGCUUCCACAAGGUGAUACUGUACCAUCACUCUUCAAUAACAUCUUAAAGUACUUGAUUAUCACUUUUAUAAGUUCUCCUUGGUUCUGGCAUUCACAUAAAUAAAGAGACAAACAUGUAUGAUUUGUAGCUCCAAAUUAACCAACCCAAUUAAUUCAACAUGAUUAGUCCUUAAUCUUUCUUCUUAGUACUACCUUCGUGAUCCCACACUCCUAAUCAUAUAAGCUAAAAUGUUGCACAUUCAAUCUUUGGAAGAUAUAAACAAAACAUAAAUAUAGAUAGAUUAUCUUUCCAUUAGGUUGAGCCAUCUGAUCUAACAAAUGUUUUAAAUGUUACACUCAUGAUCCAUCAACUUUGUCUUGCUCACUACGCUUAAGGUUAGAGAAGAACAAAUACACUUUUGGUUCUGUUGGUGUUUUCCACCAACAGAGCCCAUGCACUUGAUCUCUGCCUUGUCUCUAUGAGCAGGACACAUUUUGAGAAACGUGAAGGCGUUUUACAACUCCCAGAUUCCAUCAAGUGAAGAACCGGGAUCUAUGAGCACAAACACAAUGGAGGUCGGACACUUAGUUUCCCAAAGGAAAUAUUGAAGAACCUCUGUGUCCGAGUUGGUACCUUGUACGCUCCAGCAAACUUCUGGUGAUAGAGACUGGUACUGAGGAGAGGGCACCCAUCAUCUUAGGGAGGCCAUUCCUAAACACCAGAGCUGUCAUCUAUGCUAAUGCUGCCAAGAUCAGUUUCUACAUCAAGGGGAAGAAGGAGACUUUCCUUCAAGAACAAGACUACACAAACUUCAGAGCAAUCCCGACAUGAACCAAGGAAGAGGACCAACAGGAGAAACAGGAACAAGCAAAUAUAGACCGAGUCAGCUAAGAUGGUCACUGCAACUCAAGGAUGUCAAGAUCGUCGACUCAAGUCACCUUUCUUGAUCAAGAAGGACGACCCAGGUGUUCCAAGAAUCGAAUGCACAAACAAUGGAUACUCUUUUUAGAAGACACUCUACGACACCGGAUCUGACGACAACAUAAUGGCCGCAGUCACUUAUCAGCUCCUGCAUAGAACCAUGCCCCUACAACCAAGAUACAUUCAGCUUCAAACAACUUUCAGGUCAUUGACAUGGGAGAAGACAAGUAUGAUCCAUCCACCAUCCUUGGAUCACCGUUCCUAAACACUAUCAAAGCCAUUAUCUAUAUUGGAACCGGAGAAGUCCACAUGCACUUCCCCUCUGAGAAAGGUACGCCACUACUUUAAUGAUUAUAUAGUUGAAGAUUCUAAGCAGGUCAGGACAAGAAGAAGACAACGCAACCGCAACCAGAGGAGGCAAAUCAUCAAGGACGGUCGUGUAGACUACGAAGGAGAAGUGAUAAGGACUGAAGACAUACAACUUGAACAGAACUAUCCUGAGGAGACCGUAGCACCGAGUCAGGUGUGGAAAGAGAACAUAGUUACACACGAAGAGGAGGCGCCGCCGGAACCACCGACUACGCCACCUAGCGAAUCCCAGGACGACUGAAAACACAAGGAGUCCCGUUCGGAGGACUUAAAAACACCGAACGCCUUGCCAAGAGGUAAACUUGGUAGUUAUCCUUUCCCUUUUAAUUAUUUAAAAUAGUUUGCUUAGUUAAUCAGGUUCAUGCUAUCUUAAAAAGAAAAUAAAAAUGUUAAAAAACAGUAAGCCCCAUGUGAGUAUACUAGUGGCAUAAAACUCAUAAGUACAUUCACUGUGGUGGCGUAAAAAUAAAAUAAAUAUAUUCUUGUCCGAUAAAUAUAAAAAUAUAAAAAUAAAUUUACGAUCCUACUAAAGAGAGUAACAUUUAUUGAGGAGGCUCAACAUGAUAAAGGCUAGAUAUUUAUGCUAACACUUAACCAGUUCCACAAAGCUUUGUUGUCUAUUUGAGCUCCACAGAAUUCAAGGAUCAAAGAAGACUAGCAGACGGAGGACAUCCUAAUCGCUGUUAGGGUUCUGCCGACAUUCCAAUACACCUCCACCACCUGCUAGCUACAUGAGAAGAAAUUACGUCAAAAUCCAGCUUGGGGGAGAGCACCCCCAUUUAUCCAGCUAAGUAUUUCUACUCGCGUUUAUACUUUACUUAAAUGAUAAAAGAUGCAUAAUCAUGAAAACCCAAAUAAAAAUUUUGUGCUUUUAUAUAUAUAUAUCUUUGCUUAGUUUGCUAAAUAAAUAAAUAAAUAAAGUUUGCUAUGAACACUCAUGAUAAACUCUCACAUGGAAAUGAUGAAUAGUUGCUCUGCCAUGACUAGUUUUUAAAAUUGAAAUCUCUCUCAAGUUUAGGCAUAACUGUUAUAAUUUAAAGCUUGCUCUAAACCUAAACUUGUGGCAAGAGUACUUGAUCUAAAGUCUAAGUCGUUAAAGGAUAUGAUAUGGGAAGGUUGAGCUGCUGUUUAUCUGUUCCUAGAGAUACUAGAAUUCUGGAGAAUUUUAUAUUUGAAAAAUCUUUAAAAUAACACAUGAUGAGUUCCUGUAUGAUGAGAGUUUAAAUUCCUACAACAGCCAUAUAUACAUGCUUAUUAGACUUUGAGCCACACAUUUACUUUUUACUGCUUAUGAGCAUUGAGUGUGGUCAAGCUGUGUAGACCUUUAGGAGCUUGUCAUGUGGUUAAAAUCAAGAUUCACUUGCACGAUUACUCAUACAUGCUACUUCUACUCCAGAAGUACCAUCCACAUAUAUCCACUCAUUUCCAUCUCCAGUUUUACUCAAAAUUAUUCUACUCCUAAUCCGGGAGAGAAUAGCCAAAAACAUUUUCCUAUCCCUGUUAUUCCCUGUGAAAUAAAUGCUCCAGUUAUUUUGGUUACUACCACUUGCUACAUUAUUUCAAGAGAUGAGUGCUCUAGAAAGAAAAAAAAAGAGAGAAAAAAAAGAAAAAAAAAUAUAUAUAAUAAAUAAUAUACGAGGAAAUAAAAAUGGGCAGGUGCCCGGAACCUCGAAGAAAAGAAAAAGUAAGACGAGAGGUAAAAAUGGACAAGUGUCCGACAGUAGAAUUAGGGGUACAAGAUACCCACCUGAGAGGUAAGAAAAAGAAAAUAUAGAGCAUCUCAUUCUCCCCAAAAAGCUUCUAAGUGCAAGAAAGGUAUGUAUCCCCUUAAAAGAGCAAAAGUAGAAUUAGACUUUCACCAUUGUUAUCUCCAUCAUCACCAUACACCAUUCACUCGCCACACAUGCACAUCUUGAUUUGACUUAUUGACUUGUUUCUCUGGAUCCAUGGUUUGACUAUGCAAUAAAUGUCUUGUAAGUAUGUAUUAGCUGUCUCCCACCUAUGAGCUCCAGAUAUCAAAACCUUACUAGAGUAGGGUGAGAGAGAAGGGAAUAUCACUAUGCCUCAUGCCAAAAAUACCACAUACUGUGAGAGAAGGCAUAUCCCAUUACUGCCUUGGUAAGGAUCCAGAAAUACCACAAAAGAGAGACUAGAGAGAAUUAUACAAGGAAUCUCUGAGUUUUAUUUGAAAAUCUGCAAAAACUCCAGAGCUAUAGUUGAUCAAAGAACAAGAUACAUGGUGCUUGACUUGACCGUUCUAUCUUUUAACUGCUCAAGACACAAGUGACAUUACAAGCCCCAUGGAGAAAGGUAAAAUGAGUAAGUUUUAAGUCUUAACAAAUUAUUCUAACUCAGAGAUGAGAUCUUGCUUAAAUGUGUGUGUACUUCUAAGAAAUGAAACCACUGCAGAAACUCUUAAGUUCAUCCUUGCUCAGGGACGAGCAAGAGGUAAGCUUGGGGGAGUUUGUUGACGGUCCUUAAGUAUCAAAUUUAAUUAUCAAAUAAACAAAGAAAAGGAUCCAAAUGAAAUCAACAUCUAGACUUAGGGUUUUAUCUGACAGAAUUCCAAGAGUUUUGGUGUUUGUCUAUUUCUGCAGGGGGUUAUCAGGAAAUAAGGAAGAAAGGCCCACAUGUCGGGAUUACAUAGAGAUAUCAACCCACCGCGCAAUUUUCUACCAUCUAGAAGACUCCAGAAGCCACGGGAAGGAAGCGGAGCCUGAAAGGGGCCAGGCCCAGGGCGCCCGCCCUGAGGACCUGGGCGCCUGCCCACCUCUGGACUCCGUUCCGGACUCUCUUCGCACACGACGUUCCACCGACCUAUUGGAUCCAGAAUAACAUAGUACCACCUCGCCUAUCGACCCAAAAACGCAUAGAAGGGGAGGACUAUAUAAGGAGACCCCCUCUGGCCCCUGGAGGAGACAAGAAAUUAUCAUAGAGAUUGAGGGGUGCCCUCGAAGGAAAACCUCUUCUCUAAAUAAUAUUUCUUUUUAGGCUUAGCAACCAAUGUAAAGUAGAAAUAGAUCUUCUAGUUUCUACUAGAUUGAGAGAGAUAGAGUGGAGGUGUGGAUCG
rnacentral:lncRNA from 1 species